UUUUUUUUUUUUUUUCUUUUCCAACAAACUAUUUAGAUUAAUACAAAAGGUAGGAGUUUAUGUGCAUCAUCUGCUUUCUCCCUGAAAGCAUUUAGGAAUCUAUAAGGACGAUAAGAGCUGCCAAACUGGCAUGUACAGAUUUGCUUGACACUGUACAACCCAAACUUCCUUUCUUCACUUGCUAGAAUAUGCGCACAACUGACAAGGUCUCUGGGCACUUUUAAAAAUAUGCAAAAAAGAACUGCGAUGCUAUGAGACCAUCAUAUUCCCAACAAAAACCUGCAUCAUGACCAUUUAGCUUAUCUACGAGCAUAACAACCAGACAUUGGAGUAUUGGACUUCCUCCUUAAGUGCACAGCUUAAUCCUUGCUUGAUAGCUAAGCCCUCUGCAUAUCUCGGUUCACUUGAUAAUUUGAUAUUAGAAAUCGGAAUCAAAUGUUAGAUUUGGGAUUCAUUUGGGCCAGGGUUUAGUGAAGGCCCAUAGGCCAUAAUUAUGGGUAUUUCCUUUGUAAUAACCAGCAAGUCCUAACUUAUUAGCCCAUAACACAGUCCACAGUCCAUACCCAAUGUAUUCUUCACUUUUCUGCAAUACAGCAAAAGAAAAGAGUAUAGAAAUAGAACCCCUCUUUCUCUCUUCUUCUUCUUCUUCUUCUUCUUCUCUCUACGUAAUAAUAAGUUAAUAACAACAGCAGCGAUACUCUCAACUCGAAAGAGGGAAAGAGAUUAAUAAAUCAAUCAAUCAGUUAUCGGUACGUUAUUCUUACUCCAACUCUUCAAAAAAAAACCCUCUUUGUUUUACUACAUCAUCGAUUUUGUUUCCUUCUUCUUCUUCUUCUUAGCUAUCUAGAGUUCUAUAAGAAUUGCAAAAGCUUAAGCAUUGUGACGAUAACAAUGGGUUUUCUUUGAUAAUGGUUUUAGUUUACAGAAAUGGAAAAGGAAUUUACAUUAUUUUUAAUGAAUGUGAAGCUCUGGGAGGUUAUAGGUAUUUGUUUGAAGCAAUUUUUAUUAGAUUGGGGAGUUGUGUUUUUACCCAUUGAGCUCAAAGGUAACAACAAUUUACCCCCGAUAAAAUGAACACUACAUAUCAAUUUUGUUCUUAUAAUGAACUUUACCACCAUUCCAUUGUGUCGUAGAAUCAAUGGAAAAUUUCUCAAUUUUCGCUUCAUUUUCAGAUCUUUUUGUAGUGGUAAUGUGAAAGAUAAUGGUGGAAUUAAUGGUUAUGGAGAAAAAUUGGAUUUUGAUUCUUCUUUGGAAUGGAAACCUGUUGCGGAGGGUAACUAUUUAGGUGUUUCCUCUCAAGUAAGUGAUGAUGACGAAGAAAAUGAUUCUCGUAGAUAUUUUUCACCUCGGCAAAGAUUCUUUGAAGAUGCUAGAUUUGCUGUUGAUAGAGUUAUUGAAAUUCUUUUACAAGAUGGACUGGGUUUUGAUACUAAAUUGGCUUUGAAUGAGUUGAGGUUGAAGAUCACAAAUUAUCUUGUUCGGGAAGUUCUUUUAAGGAUAUUGAAAAGCAUCACUUACUCAAAUCAGUGUAGGUGUGCUAAGUUAGGAUAUAAGUUCUUCGUGUGGUCUGGUGAGCAGGAAAAUUAUAGUCACACGUCGAACGCAUACAAUUUGAUGAUGAAGAUUUUCGCAGAUUGUAAUGAGUUCAGGGCCAUGUGGAUUAUGCUUGAUGAAAUGACGGACAAGCAUUUACCAAUUACUGCACGAACGUUUAAUAUACUGUUAUCUACUUGUGGUGAGGCUGUUAUGAUGAGACAAAUGGUGGAGAAGUUCAUACAAUUGAAGACAUUUGAUUUUAGACCAUUUAAACAUUCUUUUAAUGCUAUUCUACAUUCGCUUCUUGUGCUAAACCAAUACAGGUUGAUAGAAUGGGUGUACCAGCAAAUGACACUUGAGAAUCAUUCCCCCGAUAUUCUAACUUAUAAUGUACUUAUGUGUGCAAAGUUUAGGUUGGGGAAGUUAGACGAGGUCUAUAGAUUGCUCGAUGAAAUCGGUAGGACUGGGAUUUCCCCGGAUCUGCAUACAUAUAAUAUCUUUCUCCAUAUACUUGGAACAAGAGACAAACCUCUUGGGGCCCUUAAAUUCAUGAAUCGCAUGAGAGAAGUUGGCUGCGAACCCAGUGUUAUCCACUUCACUUCGUUAAUACAUGGGCUGAGUCGGGCUGGAAAUCUGGAGGCUUGCAAGCAUUUUCUCGAUGAGAUGGUUAAGAAAGGCUGCAUGCCUGAUGUGGUGUGCUACACUGUUAUGAUAACUGGAUAUGUUGUAGCAAGAGAGUUGGAAAAGGCUCAGGCAAUGUUUGAUGAAAUGAUCGUCAAGGGGCAAUUACCGAAUGUUUUUACCUAUAAUGCAAUGAUCCGUGGGCUUUGUGUUGCUAAGAAGUUUGAGGAAGCACGUUCUAUGCUCAGACAAAUGGAAUCCAGAGGUUGCAAUCCCAAUUUUGUUGUGUACAGUACGCUAGUGGAAAAUCUGAGAAAAGCUAGGAGGUUUUCUGAGGCUCAUGAAAUAAUGGGAGAGAUGGUGGAGAAGGGACUUUAUCACUAUGUUGAUCUCCUCUCAAAAAAUAAAUAUAGGAAGCGUUAAAAUUUCCGGAUCAGGAUAAAUUGGGAUUCUUCGUUUGUGUCUAUGUUGGAAUGUGCGCUUCAGCCGCGAGUCGUGGCAGCUUGACAACUAUGGGAAUAUCAUGAGCAUCUCAAACUGAAGUAAGUACUAUGCUUACACGGCUGAUCUAAUGUAAGACAUGAAUAAUUACGAUCCUGCGAAUAUACAUCAUAUGUUUUCUUAUCCUUGUGACCACAAAAGUUUAGUGAUCAUGCAACUAAGUAGGUGUUUAUGAUCAUUUUGUGCUUUGUAAUUAGAAUUUUGUCCAUCCAAUGGGAUUGCAGGUAUGAUCCCCUUUAUGAGUCAAUGGAACUGGUAGAAUUCUGAUAAUAGUCAAUGGGAUUGCAGAUAUAUUAUUUAACCAUUUAUUAAAGUUUUUCAGAAAGAUUUAGUCAUCCAUGGGUUUUUAAACAAACUGUAUAAAAAUGUCUGUAGGCACUCUGGAUACGUAUCAGGCUUAUGAAUCUAAGCACUCCAACCAACAGGGAAAACAUGCAUCUGGAUUUGGGAGAUCACCUUCGCAAAAGUGCCAUUUAGCUGCACUGGCAGGGGGUUGAAUCUGAAACCUGAGAAUGAGACUGACCUUCAACACUAGUAACUAAUUACUUGUCCUAAAGAAAGAAAGAGAAAGGAUCUCCUCAAAAUUAGGAUUAUCAAAACAUGAUAUUUUGGUCCAGAAUUACUUAUUUAGUGCAUCAGAGCUUUAGUUGAUGCAGUAUUCACCUACAGUAUGUUUCAGUUAAGUAGUUCUGUGUAUGCUGGAUUUUCCCUUUGCCUGUUGUCUUUGUAGUUGUUGACACCAUGUAGCCUCACAUUAUUUGCUUGCAUUCACUUAAAUAUGAACCUGGAGUGAGAUUGCUGAUCAGCUAGCUACUUAUGGUGUUGGCUUAUUUGGUUUCCUUUCCUUACAGUGUUGGCCACAGAGUCCCAGUCAAAGCCACUUAAUCAGCUAGCAAACUGAUAACCUUGAAGGUUAGGUAUCUCACUAUCUUUCUUUUUCCUCCGCAUCGUGUUUCUAACAUCUCUGAUGCAAAAAAAUAUGUACUCUACAUGUUUGGUGAGGUAUUUCUGAGAGUCUCAGAGGACAACUCACACCCUAGUUUCAUUUUUGAACCCCAUUCUCUCUCUUGCAGUUUGCCUCGCUAGAGAGCUCCUCAAUGGCUGAUGACCUUGCAAAACUGCAGACAAAAAAAUCAGGAAGAUCAGAGGUUUGUCAUUCAUUUUCUGAUUAUCGAAAAGAAAGAGCUGACUGGAUUUAUCGUGUUAGAGUCUUUUGCAUUUGCCAUUGUAGAUGGCAGAUAAUUUCCUGCUAUUUCUUAUUGACAGCUAUACUUUGGACCACUAUUUCACCAAAUUUUUAUCAUGUGCGCCUUUUAAUCUUCAUCACAGACACACACACAACGGGACAAUAUGUCAGUAUAAACAAAUCUUUAUGACGCAGAUAUUACUGAGCAUACUUAAUAAAAAAAUUCUCAUGCUUAUAGUAUUAAAUUAAGAGGGUUUUUUUUUCUUUUCAAUUAAAUAGAAAGAAGAACACCCAUCCAAUAACAGAAGCAACAAAGGGUUCUUUUCGAGAUACAGAAAUCAAGAAGCUUAAUGAACUGAGAAGAAAAGCCAAGGACUCCAAAGGGUGCUCUGUUUUAUUUCGCAGAAGACUGACUACUCCUUCCGAAUUUACCAACAUCAAUGCACCUUAAGUUGGUUUUAUAUACUUGAGCAGCAAUUGUGAUUCAUAAAGUGAAGACCUCAGACCUCAGACGAGAAAAUGAUGUACGAGCCUGAGUCCAAUUGGGCUUAAUUAUGAUUAUGUUAGCAUGCAUACUUUGUUACCACUUUUCUGUACACAAUUUUGUAGUUUGUACUCUAUUUUUGUUUAAAAUGGAUUGGUUUUGACUAGGGGUGGCAAUCGUGUCGGGUCGUGUCGGGUUCGGGUUCGGGUUAACCUGUUUAAACCCGCUUCAGAUUUAUUUAAUAUAAAUUAAUCAACUUAAUUUCAUCAAAAAUUAAAACUAUUAGUAAAAAACAAAAUUAAAAAAAAUAUUUUUAAAAAACAAGAGGACGGUGAAAUAAACAAUUACUAUAAAGAGCAUAGAGAUGAAAAGUGUUAACAUUAAAGCCAAUUAUAAACAUAAUUAGGAGCAUCAAAUUUGAGUUUUAAAAAUAAAAAAACACCGAUCUGGUUUCAAUUGAUUAAUUAAAACAUCAUGCUCUUUAAACCCAAAACAAAUCAAUUGAAAAAUAAGAAAAAUAUUCACACAAUCUCUAACUUUGAUAUAAAAAAAUAAGAACCACCAGCAAACAAGUUUUUAAUAAUCAAUUCAUUACUACUAUAUAUUUCUACAUAGUUAAAUAAGAAGAAAGAAAACGAUUGUUGAAAAGAGAUGAAAAAUGAGGGAUGGAGAGAUGAUUUCAAAACUUGAAAUAAAAAAUAUUAAUUUUUAACGGGUUUCGGGUUGACCCGACCUGUUAGUGGUCAAACCCGAACCUGACAUGUUUAUAAACGGGUCUAACAGGUUCGGGUCAAAAUGACCCGAAAAACCCGAUAAUACUAAACCCAAACCUGUUUAUCUCAGGUCGGGUUCGUGUCGGGUUAACGGGUUGCGGGUCAUUUUGCCACCCCUUGAGUUUGUUGUUUCAAGGGAAAUUGAUUGCUUAAUAAGUGGUUGUAUGCCUUUUAUUUUUAUUACAAAUCCUUGUGCUUUAGAUUUGAAGCUAUGCCACAAAGACUGCUGCAGUGUGGAGUAACAACUAACACGUACAAAAAUUGUUCUCCACCCAAAAAUAUUUUUCAACUGAGAAAUUAGAUAUUUUCCCACUAAUGUUGAGAGGAGGUCAGGAGGAAGAUAAUUAUAAACUGUUAUUUACAGUACACUAGUACUAAAACUAUCCAAAGCCUCAUUAAGAACUAUAUAUUGUGGGCUCCAUCGCUAGGUCAGAAUCGAGUUUAAGCGAGGGGUCAGGAUUAUUACAUGAAGGCCAGGAAAGGAAACACAUGUAUGAAUGGGAAUGUAAAACACCUUCAGCCAAUCAUGACUAGUGAUAAGGUGGAGAACAACUCCUCCUCUUUCACACCAAGCAAUACGUUGAUCAUAGCGCCCCAUGGUUGAAGGCAGAUCAUAGUUAAUUACCCAGGGCACGUUCUUCGGGGGCUCAAUGUCAAGGUCAUGGGUAAUGGGCAUACAACAGCCUUCACACAGUCGAAAUUUGGAAUAGUCCGUAAAAACUUGGAACUUGCCACUGUCUACUACUUGUCGAUAGCCAUAGGUGCCUCUAAGUACUUCUUCACAUAGAAAAUUAACCUUUUGAGCUUUCACGAAAACGACACUCUUUGUUUUAUGAGUUUUGCCAUAAUACCUUCCAGAAAUCCAGUUAGCUUCCAUCCGUGAUCUGUACAAUCGCAUGCAAAAUGCCUGAUAUCUUGAGCAGCUUGUGGAAAAUUCAAGUUCUUAGCUAGUUCUUGCUCCUCUCUUAGGCAGAAACCUGCAGGCCCAUACAGAGAAGUUAUCUCAAAAUUCACCUUAAACUCGUUCUGAAUAUCAACCAACAUGAACCAGUCCUCCCCAGUGACAAAGUUGACAGCAUCAACAUCUCUACACAGACCCAUACGGCGAAGAUAACACUGUGGGAAGCCUAUAGGCAUAUCGUAGUUGACCACCAAACGCACCUGCUGAAAAUCAAAACGACGAGCCUGAUUAGAGAGAAUAAUGUGUACAAGAGAACGGUCAGACGACUGGGAUAGCUCUUGCUUAGAUUUGGUUCUGUUCUCUUUGUUCAUUUUCUUGUUGGGAAGGAAGACUUCCAACCCAUCAUCAGAAAGGUGUCGCAAUUCUGCAAUCAAAGUACAAAUCGUUCGUGAAUCAUCUACAAUAACGACAGUCUUCACUUUUCUGCUCCUACGAAGCAGCAGCUCUUUUAGUGCAGCAAUCUUGGGCUUUCCACCCCCAACAACACUGAUGACCUGAUGCUUUUUUAUACCUUUAAAGCUCAACUCAUCCGGCUCUUUCACUGUAAUUGCCUCAGGAUACUUCGUCAAAUCCUUAACAACAUCUUCCCUCUCAGGCCAUGUUUCUGAGGGAACAUCAAUCUGUAAUGGGUCUUUCGAAUGACGUAGACACCAGAAAAUAAAAUCGAUCAGGUAGUACAGUAAAAUGGUUAUAGUUAGGUUCUCCUCGGUACAAUCCAGCUGCUGCAAAAUCCCUAAGCCAAUUGCUGCUGUCUUUAUUGGGUCAGAUUCUCCUUGCCAAACAAAAUUACAUCCCUUGCUCAGAUGCAAAAUUGCAUUAUGUUGAUCUGAUCUAUACGCUAGAAAUUUGUUCUUGAGAUUCAUGGAACCAAAUGUUCCAGAUUCCUUUCCCUUAGUGUCAAACAAUUGAUUCACCAACUUAGAUCCUCCUAAGCCAAAUCUGCCAUGCUGUAAACAGAAAAAAAAAAAAAAAAUCAGAUAUAGUGACAAAAUAUAUAAGAGUCUAAAAUCAUCAUGUAGAACAACAUGAAACACAUCAUUAAUUAAUAUAGAUACAUAACAUGUAAAAUUGCUGAAAUCCAACAUAAAUUUCUACAACAAAUUAAACAAAAAACACUAGAAAAACUCCCAACCAACCCACACAUAAAUUUAAAAAAUAAAAAUUGACAAGAUAAUAUUAACAAAAAAACACUAGAGAAAAUCCCAACCAACCAACCCACACAUAAAUUUGAAAAUAAAAUUGACAAAAAACCCUAGAGAAAAUCCCAACCAACCCACACAUGAAUUUGAAAAAAAAAAUUGAUAAAAUAAUAUUAACAAAAAACCCUAGAGAAAAUCCCAACCAACCCACACAUAAAUCUGAAAAAUCAAAAUUGACAAGAUAAUAUUAAAAAAAAAAAAAAGCUUUACCUCAAACUUGUAGAUCCCAGUUUCUUUCUUCAAUUCUUUUGUAUUACAACCCGUGCCUACGAGCUACGUCACGAUUACUUUAGUGGAGAGGGUUGUAAAUUUUUUUUAGUUACAUAAGAGAUGAGAUUACAAAUGAUAUUUUUGAUUUAUUCUAUAAAUCAAAUAAAUUUUUGUUUAUUCUAAUUCCCAUGGUAAAUUAUCAUAACAAUAUAUAUCUUUUUUAAUAACUCAGGGGGAGAGGUUUUUUCUUGAGGCCAAACUUUUACCAAAAAAAUCCAUUUCUCUUUCACUAAAAUCAAAUAUAUCUUCUCUAAUAUAAAGGGUCAUUAAAUAAUUUUAAUAUAAAUAAAUAUAGAACCGUGACACGGUGGGGACCGACUUUAGCAAGAGAAAUCGAAGAGAAUAAUAUAGAAGAAGGAGAAGUAGGAGAACUGAGAGAGAGAAAGGAGACGAGAAGAAGAAUUGAGAGUGAGAGUGAGAGAGAGGAGAUAAGUAGAAGAAGAUAGAAAAAAAUAAAGAGAAGAAGGAGAAUUGGUCAAUUGAUUGAAGAUGAAAGAAAAAAAAAAUUGAAAGUGAACGGACGGACAUUGUUUUUUUUUCCACUUGAAGUAUAAUGGACCUCCUAAAAGUCAGUCGAUUAAACUUUAUCAAGUAGUUACCUAUAAAUUAGGAAACUAAUAUUGUUUUUACCAAAAACCAAGGAAACUAAAUAUGAUACACGUCUGAUAGACGUGCAUUCACUUAGUGUAUAGUAAUAUACAUAAUAUUUUUAAGAGUUUUUUUUUAUUCUUCUCAUCCCUCUACAAUCUACAUAGAGUUGAGCAGAAUUUGUAUUUUGGAAACUAAUUUGACAAACACAUAUAAAAUGAUUUGAAAACUGUUAGUGAAGGAAAACAACUAUCAUUGUUUACACACAACAAAGAGAUAAUAUUAAGGUUUCUUGGAGAACAAAAGAUUUUACAAACAAAAUAUGAUAUUGUAUCUAUCAUAAAGAGAAUUACAUAUUAUAUCUCAAUACAUGUUAGGGGUGGCAAAAUGACCUGCAACCCGUUAACCCGACACGAACCCGACCUGAGAUAAACAGGUUUGGGUUUAGUCUUAUCGGGUUUUCGGGUCAUUUUGACCCGAACCUGUUAGACCCGUUUAUAAACAGGUCAGGUUCGGGUUUGACCACUAACAGGUCGGGUCAACCCGAAACCCGUUAAAAAUUAAUAUUUUUUAUUUCAAGUUUUGAAAUCAUCUCUCCAUCCCUCAUUUUUCAUCUCUUUUCAACAAUCGUUUUCUUUCUUCUUCUUUAACUAUGUAGAAAUAUAUAGUAGUAAUGAAUUGAUUAUUAAAAACUUGUUUGCUGGUGGUUCUUAUUUUUCUAUAUCAAAGUUAGAGAUUGUGUGAAUAUUUUUCUUAUUUUUCAAUUGAUUUGUUUUGGGUUUAAAGAGCAUGAUGGUUUAAUUAAUCAAUUGAAACCAGAUCAUUGUUUUUUUAUUUUUUAAAACUCAAGUUUGAUGCUCCUAAUUAUGUUUAUAAUUGGCUUUAAUGUUAACACUUUUCAUCUCUAUGCUCUUUAUAGUAAUUGUUUAUUCCACCGUCCCCUUGUUUUUUCAAAAAUAUUUUUUUUAAUUUUGGUUUUUACUAGUAGUUUUAUUUUUUGAUGAAAUUAAGUUGAUUAAUUUAUAUUAAAUAAAUUUGAAGCGGGUUUAAACAGGUUAACCCGAACCCGACCUGUUUAUUAAACAGGUCGGGUUCGGGUUUAGAAAAAAAUACUAAACAGGUUAACAGGUCAGGUUCGGGUUUAAAGAAAAAACACAUCAACCCGUUAAGACCCGACACGAAUCUGACACGACCCGACACGAUUGCCACCCCUAAUACACGUACACAUGGAGUAAGAAAAAAAAAUAUAAGAUAUUUCUUCUCAAUAAUUUAACCAAACGAAUCACUAUUGUAAGCCCUCUCUUAAGCUUAGUUACUAAUCAGUGAUGAUGAACCUUCUUCUUCUUAUUUCCUCGAAAUACUUGCAAUGACCACCGGUUUUGGUCCGGUGGGUAAAGCUCCAACGAUCAAGUUAGUAAUGGAGGCCGAGUUUAGAAAUGAGUGCAAUCAAAUAAUGAAUAGUUACUUUCAGUUUGCCCUACAUUAUUCCUUACAUAGCGGUUUAUGAUGCUCCCUCCUUACCCUAGGAUCACCUCCAGAUCCUACGAUCUUCCUUCUCCCUACGUGGUUCCUUUUCCUCCAUGUAUUCUGAAUAAGUGUUUGACAGCUAGCUCUCAUGUGCCUCGUCCAUGGCACUCUAGAAUGUUCCUAGGUCUUAUCUCCUAUCUCUCGAUUCUUUUCUCUGUUUUGCUCCUUACGUGCCUACUCCGCCACGUAAUUAACUAAGUAAGGCACUUACAUCGCCCCUCCUUUGACCAUCAUUCCUAGGUCUUAUCUCCUAUGUCGGUUCAAAGGCUAUUUCCUUAACAAAUCUCUAUUUCUUAAUUUAAGCUCACGUGACUUCCACAAGAAUCCUUUCGACUUCUAACUACUCAUUGAAUACACGUGUCCGACAUGCAUUCAUUUCUCUUCCACGUGCUUCUCUGCGAUGCCUUAGGCGCAAUGAUAGUAUUACUGUGCCUUUACCACUUCUCGAUAACUCCCUGUCUUAUCACCCCUUUACUUUUUCCCCUUUUACCCUUCCAUUCAUUGCCUUAUAAACCGAAGCCUUACUUAAUCUCUUCUUCUUCUUCACUUUUAUCCUUUGAGCUUUUCUCUAAAUCCAGCCUACAUCUUCUUAUUUUCUUCUUAUCUUUGCGCUGCCAUUGUUGAACGCUAGAUUCUCCAAAAGGUUGCUUUCCACGGACUCAUCCAUCUUUCUAAGAACUUUACAGGUUAGCUCUCACUCCCUCCGCUGUAUUUCGCUCUAUUUAUCUUUCACACACCUGUAUCCACUUAAUUUUGCGUAAUUCUCCCUCUUUGUUUGCCGCAAUCUCAAAGUUUCUGACUGUGGCGUUGCAUACCAUUUUGGAACUAUUCUGCCUGUUCUAGGGUUUUAGUCUUUUAAUUCUCAGUUUUAUUCCAGAUCUCUAAAUCUCGGCCACCAUUUCUUCUGUUCUAGGACCCCUCUCAGCGCCCCAUAUUUUUCUUCCUGUAAAUUUGUUACACCAAGUUAAAUGGCACCUAAACAAACUGAUCAGAAGAAAAAUACCUCAGGGAGAACUGGGGAUGACGGUGGUGUUCAGCUCCGUCAAGUCGCUGAUCCCCUUUGUUCAACCUACUAUCUAGAUCUACAAGACCCAGCUACUUACGAGUUUAGGCCUAACCUAGAUCUCUUCCGCCAGCAAUAUGAUAUUCCGGCUGACGUAAAGUUUUUUCACUAUAAAAAGGCUUUACGAUUUGCUCAUCACGACUUUUCCCGUCAAGAUGCGAUCGUGGUGACCGCCCACCAGAUCGCCUUUGGUUGCCGGUUUCCUUUUUCAGAGCUUGUCCGUGAUGUUCUCAAUUUCUAUAAACUCGCCCCUGGUCAAUGCAUAAGCAAUUUUUGGCGUAUAAUGAGGGCCAUGGACCAGCUAAAUGGUGAUGGUGUUCUUGUCGUCACUCUCAAUGACGUACACCAAUGCUAUUAUGUUAGAGCUUGUGACGAAAAAUGUGGGGAAUCUUACUAUUAUUUCGUCAAACGUAAUGGCAGGAGAUCCAUUAUCCAGAAGCUUCUCGAGAGUGAUAAAGAGUGGCCUGAGUUCCCACUCAUAGUAAGUGGUAAUUUCGGUGUAAAGGGUCCUACUAUUAAGAAACCCUUGAAGUACUGGCGGUUCAACCCUGGAGGUUUUUCACCUUACCUAUCAUUUGAAUAUGUUUGUUUAUCGCUGUGCAAAUAAUUACUCCUACUGACGUACUUCUUUUUCCCCCUUUUAUUUUUUUAUUUUACAGAAAUCUACGGCAACAGUAAAGCUAUAAAACCGCCUGUUGACACCCCUUGGGAACCUUUAAUCGGUUUAGGGUCUGGUGGCUAUUCCGCUAUUCAGAAUCUCACCCGAACAAAAAAGAACAACAACCCGUUGACCAAAGAACUCGAUCUAGGGGAUUACGUUCUUCCAAUCUGCUGUCAUAAAGAUUAUCUAAAAGACUAGAAAGGUAAACCUCCUUCAGUUAUUCCUGCAUCUCCUCCUCCACCAAGAAACAAAGACAAAGCCCCAGUCGUUGACUCUGCCAGUGAAAAUGAAGAUGAUGGAGAUAACAUCCCUCUGCAAGACAUUCUGGUUCUGAAACGUUCUCUUAACACCCCAUCUCCUUCUCCUGCCGUAGGCUCAUCGCCCUCCUUGCAGCCGUCAUCUCCAGUGAAGAAGAAGUAAAAAAGAGUAACUUCUCGUCUCUCUCCUUUCUUAUCUGCUUUGCGUCUUCAAAAGCUUGUCAGAUCUUCUAGUCGUGAUCUUUCUCCAACUUCAACUGAAAUAUCUGACUUUCAGGCUAUCCAAGGCGAGCCAGAGUCUUUGGCAGAAUCUCCUGAGUCACCCCUGGCGCGCUCCAAGCAUUCUGGGCCCACAAUGAAGAGGGUUAAAAAGGCCAAAAGGGCUUUAGUGGCAGUGCCCUAAUUAAAUGAGCCUUCUGACCCCACUACUGACCCCAUGGAGCUCCCUGAUCAGCCUGAUUUCAGUGGCGUCAAAGUUUCUAUUAACGUUGAUGACCUGGGGAUCGAUACCGAGGGUUUUGAAGACACUGAAAUGGAAGACUUCACCCUUCCGACUAUAGGUUCUCCCUCUACACCCUCUUCUAGACUAAAGCAUGCACUUGUUGAUGCUAACUUGCCUCCUGUUAUUAUUUCUCUGUCGCCUCCCCUUUCUAUAGACGACGAGACUUUUGAUAUUGCCGUAUUAGUUAGACCAGUCUGUGAGGCUCCUAAAUAUGUCCGACCUUCGAUUUCUAACCGUAAUUGUUCUACCUCUGAGUCAGGUGAAGAUAUUGAGAUUGAUUCUUCUAAUAUCCCCAUGGCGGAUAACCUUUCAGAUCCUCCUCCUACGGAUUCUGCUGCAGAUGGCGUUCCACGCAUGGGUAACCCUUCUGUCUCUACUGUGGAGGUUACCUCAGGGAGCCAAUCCCAGUUGCCUACCCCUCCUCUCUCUCUCUCUCCUGGCAAAGUUGGGCUUUCUCAUGCUCCAUGUAAGGGAAGCUCCUCACGUAGUUUUGUCCCUGAUGACGAUCCUAUUCUUCCCCACUCUCAAGCUACUUUGCCUGCGAAAUAUGCUUCUUUCAGUCCUAAUGACUCCGCCUUUGGAGAUGGAGUUGUUGCAUUUUCUGCUCUUCAGGGUUCCGUCUUGCCCUCUGAUCAGGCAAAGAUUGACCAAAUGUCCUUCAAUGAAUGCAACCGUGAACUCUACAGGGCUCUUUCUCUUGUAAGAUCUGAACUUUUCUUAUUUUUCCUUCGAAUUCUGAUAUUUUGUUAUUGCUAAUCUCUAUUUUUUCUUCCAGGUUAACGGUCUUACGGUUAAAUCUGGUACCUUUGUCUCUGACCUGAUAGAGGAACGUAAACGAAUCCUUUAGGAAAAGCACAACCUUACUCUAGACAAGAACUGCCUUGUCAAUGAGAAAUGGUCUCUUCAGGCUCAGAUAGAGCAGCUGAGAAUUCAACGUAAGGAGGUUGUCGCCAACGGCGAGGCAGAAAUCAACCAGAUAUGAUCUAGGGCUGAAGGAGAGUUUCGUGAACGUGUUGCUGCUCUAGAAUCCUCCCACCAGCAAGAUAUUGCUCAAUGGCGCAAUAAGGUUGACGAAAAGAUUCUCCAGCUGAACGAGUUGACCACCAAGCAUGAGAAUGACUAUGAACAGUGGCAUCUUGAUUUCGCCGAGCAGGAGACUAUUCAGAAGCAAGAGAAGGAGGAUGCCAUUGCCAAAGUUGCAGAAGACUACAACGUAAAAUAUGAUGCACUUGUGGCGAAGUCUGUUGAGCAAAUUGCUGCCCAAGUAAAAGCUCAAGUGAAGGAAAAUUUGGUUUCGUUUUUCUGCUCUAAGAAGAUAAAGCCGCCUCCUUCUCUAUCUGGAUCCCCUGCUCCGUCAUCUCGUGAGGAUCCUUUUCCCAACCCACAACCCUAAUUGUUGAGAGAAUUACUGUCUUGUAAUACUAAAUUUGUUAUUGUGAAAGCUUGAAACAUUUACUGUCUGUUUCAUCUUUUAUACAAAAAUCUUAAUAUCUUGCUUGUAUUGUUCUACUUCUUGUUUCUGAGUUCUUUCAUUCCUUCUAAUGUUAAUCUAGUCUGUUUUCUGGAUUCUUUCCAUCAUGAGGACUUACUUAUGUAAUCAAGUUACAUAGCAUGUCCCCUUUGCUGAUGAAGGUUUCUCGUGUGUCAACAUUAGGUUUUACUUCCUUAAUUCCCAUCGUCACAAGAAUUCGAAGUGAAGCCCCGUUGACCCACUAGCACUACUGCUCUUCUCUCUCAGAGGCACCUCACUGUAUUGUCUAUCUCAACCUCAGUGAGGAGGAAACAAUAUAUAGAGACUGUCAACGUAUAGUUGACGGCCUGCCAAGCCAAGUCUGCACUUAUAUUGUUCCCCACCAACCUAUAUUAGAUUUCGACCUUAUUCUUCUAGACUGAUCGUUAGCCUGAUCUCAGCCUAGGUAUCUUUCUCAAUACCGCCAUUACCUUCUAUAACAGCUAUUUCAUUAGGAAGUUAAAGAAACCGAAUAAAACCAUUAUGUAUUUCAUUUAAAAUUUCAAAAUUCACAACUUACAAUGACAUGAGUCUGCGAUCAGACACUCUUACAAAAUUUUGAAAUCAACACUUCUCUGCUUUCCUAAGCAUAGUAUUUUUUCAAGUUGCUGAUACUCCAAGGCUUGUCUACAGGGGUGCCAUUCUGGUACGUCAAGUAGUAUGCUCCAUUAACUCCAACCUUGUCUACUAAGAAAGGCCCCUCCCAAUUUGGUUCUAGCUUGGCUGGUGGUGGAUUCUGCUUUCUGAGCACGAGAUCUCCUGGAAUGAGACUUCUCGAUUUGACUUUCUUGUUGUAAGCUUUUUCCACUUGCCUAUGUUAGUUUUCUAGUUUCGUCUUUACGCGCUCUCGAACUUCAUCCGCAAAGACCAACUCCCUCUCUAUUACUUCAUUGUUCUUCCCAAUAUCGACUACUGUAUCCUUGAUGGUACUCACUAGCAUCUCCUGUGGGAUUACCGCUUCCAUGCCAUACGUGAGAGAGAACAGUGUUGCACCUGUUGAUCUUCUUGGCGUUGUUCGAUAGGCCCAGAGUACUUCACAUAAGUUCUCGUACCAUUUUUCUUUCUUGUCCUAAAGUUUUUUCUUUAAGACAUCAAGUAUUGCCUUGUUUGAUGCCUCCGCUUGCCCAUUUCCCUGUGGAUGGAAUGGAGUUGCAAAUAGUUGCCUGAUGUUGUAGCUUUCCAAGAAUUGUUUCAACCAUCUCCUCUGAACUGAGCACCGUUGUCCGCCACAAUUGCCUUUGGAAGUCCAAACCUGCAAAUAAUGUUUGACCAAAUGAAAUCUCUGACCUCGGUCUCCCUGAUUCUCCUUAACGGUUUUGCCUCUAUUGAUUUGGUGAAGUAAUCUGUGGCUACUAUUAGGUAUUCUCUGCCCUGUGAUUUUUCUAACUUGCUUACUAUAUAUAUCUAUUCCCCACAUUGAGAAAGGCCACGGGUUACUUAUGAAAUGCAAAUUUUCCGUUGGAGUAUGGAUUAGUCUUCCAUGGAUCUGACAACCAUGGCACUUCUUAGCGUAGUCACAACAAUCUUUGUACAUGAUAUGGUAGGCCAGUAAUGCCCAUAUAUCAUGAUUCUAUGUGCCAUGGCUCUCCCUGGCGAAUGAUUUCCGCAACUGCCACUAUGGUUUUUCGUCAUGAUCUCUUCCUUUCGAGAUGGGUGAGCACAUUUUAGUAAUGGUCCAGCUGGAGAUCUUCUAUAUAGGUCUUCUCCUAUUAAAGCAUAUCUCUUGGACUGUUCCAAGACUGAUCUUGCCUUUGUCUUUUCCUCUGGAAGUGACUCAUUCUUCAAGUAGUCUAUUAUUGGAUCCAUCCAGCUCACCCCCACGCUCUGUAUGAGGUUCACAAUUUUCUCCUCUACUUCUAUCAUUGGCUGAGAUCUCUGCAAGAACGUAAUUGUCUUAGUUGAAACCUCAUCUGUUGCCGUAGCUAGGUACGCCAAGGCAUCUGCGUGAUGAUUCUCUCCUCUGAAUAAGUGUAAAAUUUCCACUUUUGAAAACUUGUCGAUAGACCUCUUCAAGGUAUGUCGCCAUUUUCCCUGACAAGGCUCUGUACACUCCACUGAAUUACUCCACAACCAACUUUGAAUAAGUGAAUACUGUAACCUCUUCUGCCCCUAGCUUUUUCAAGACCUCGAAACCCUUAAGUACAGCUUCGUACUCCGUUUCAUUGUUGGUUGCUGGGAAAGUUAAUUUUUCCGCUAUCUCGAUUUUUGUCUUAUUUGGCGUUAUUAUUACCACACCUAUUGCUGAUUUUCCCUUAUUCACUGACCCAUCCGUGAAAAUUCUCCACCCUUUAAUCUGUUUCCAGUUGAGCGUCUCAGGAACCGCGAUCUCAAGUUGCUCGUCAACCAUUAUAUCUACAUGCCAUGUUUCAUCUUCUACGGGGAAAUCUGCCAGAAAAUCUACAAGCACCUGGGACUUUUCUGCCUUCUUCUGGUCGUACUGAAUUUGGUACUUGCUUAGCGAGACUGUCCAUUUUUCCAUUCUCCCCGAACGUUCCAACUUUGGCAUUACUUGGUUCAGUGGUAGAUUUGUAACCACUGUGAGGUGAUAGGCUUCAAAAUAAGGCCUCAGCCUUUGUGCCGCAAAAAGUAGAGCGAGUGCAAACUUCUCCACCCUGGAGUAUCUUGUCUCUGGAGACGUCAUCUUUUUGCUGAGGAAGUAGACUAGGCUCUCACCCACCCCUUCUCUUCUUAUUAGUACUGCACUAACUGCUAUAUCUGAUACCACUAAGUAGACGAAGAGUGUUUCCCCAGGUGUCGGCUUUGAAAGUAUUAACGGUCUGCUAAGAUAUUCUUUCAGUACUUGGAAGGCCCUUUCGCAUUCGUCAUUCCACUCAAAAGACAAGUUUUCCUCAAAAGUUGAAGAAUUGGUUUGCACUUAUCUGUGGAUCUUGAGAUGAACCUUCCUAACGUUGUAAUUCUCCCCGCCAACACCUGUACUUCUUUUUGGGUGUUUAGUGACGGCAUUUCUGUCAGGGCCCUGAUAUGCUCUUGACUGACUUCUAUCCCCCUCUUGGUAACUAUGUAGCCAAAAAACUUUCCAGAUGUUACUCCAAAGGUACACUUUUCUGGGUUGAGUUUUAUGUUGAACUGUCGUAAUAUCUGGAAAGUCUCUUUUAGGUCUUCUAAGUGAUCUGAUGGCUCCUUUGACUUUACCAACAUGUCAUCGAUGUAUACUUCCAACGUUUUCUUCAACUGACUUUCAAACAUUGUCUCUACCAACCUUUGGUAUGUGGCUCCUGCAUUUUUCAAACCAAACGACAUUUUGGUAUAAUAUAAAGUUCUCUUACUAGCAUAGAAGGCGGUUUUCUCCUGAUCUGGCCCAUAGAGUGGGAUUUGAUUGUAGCCUGAAUAACCGUCCAUGAAAGAUAGCAAUCCAAAACCUGCUGUUCUGUCCACCAGUUCAUCUACUCUUGGCAUGACGUAUCUAUCUUUGGGGCAAGCUUUGUUUAAGCUUGUGAAGUCGAUACAAACACGAACUUUCCCAUUCUUCUUUGGUACCGCCACUAUAUUUGCUACCCAUUCUGGAUAUUGAACUUCUCUUACUAUAUACCUGCUAUUUCCAUUUUUUAUACCUCUAUUUGGACUGCUUCUGCUAGCUAGUGUUGGUUUAAUUGUUCUAACCUUCUGUGCAAUUGGCUUGAAACUUGAAUCAACAUUCAAUUCAUGGCAUGCAAUGUUUGGAUCUAUCCCUGUCAUGUCGUGCAUAGACCAAGCAAAUACAUCUACAUUAUCUUUUGGGAACUGCAAAAGGUCAUGCCUUACCUUGGGGUCUAAAUUGAUUCCCAUGUAAGUGAGUUGUUGACCUUCUGCUUCAGUGAGGUUGACGGGUUCUGUUUGUUCCUCGGUUUUAGCAACCUUCCCUGGGAACCCGUCAUCCUCUUUCUGUCGUUGCUAUGCUGAGGUAGAGGCCAAGCCGACACCCACUGUGCUUUGCCUCAUGGUCUUAACUGUUGCUAUCUUCAGAUUUUUUGCCAUUGCUUGGUUAUUCCUUAUCUCAUACUGACCAUCUUCGGUUGGAAAACGAAUCUUCUGAUAGUAGCUUGAAGGAAUGGCCUUCAUCAAGUGAAUCCAUUCUCUCCCCAAAAUUGCGUUGUACUCUGUAGGAGCUUCGAUCACUACGAAUCUGGACAUGACAGUUCUGGUAUGAGCCAUGACUGGCAGCGUAAUUUCUCCCAAUGGUUGUACUGCUCCUCUAUUGAAACCGCAAAUAUCUCCAGGCGAGUUUAUCAGCCAACUCCUUCCUAGUUUCAUUUGAUCCAGUCCCCUAGUGAACAGAACAUCCACAUCACUUCCGCAAUCUACCAGAACCUUAGUUACGUUCCAGUUCCCAAUGAGUAUUGAAAUGACUAAAGGGUCAUUGUGCGGCGUCACCACCCCUUUAAGAUCCUCAUUUGAGAAACCAAUUGGCUCACUUUGAUGCACUAUACUUCCGUUCCUUAUCACGGGUACCACUCCUGAUGUUGGGGGCUCUUCUCUUAUCAGCAUCAUCGCACAUUUUUCUUGACUCGGUUAGUGGACUCUCUUGCCCCCUCCAAAAUCAUGUUCAUUGUUCCUCUGACUGGUGCUUCCGGUUUUGCUGCUUCUCUGUUAUUAUCUACAAUAAACUCCCUCAAGUGACCACUAUCAAUCCAUUUCCAGAUUAAGGACUUAAACUCAUAACAAUCUUCUGUGGGAUGAUUAUAAGUCUGAUGAUAGUCACAAAAUGGCUUACCUCUCACUGUUCUACACCAUACCGACGGCUCUUGGAAGUACUUUCUUCCCCUUAUCCUCUUCAUCACUUGAUCUAGCGGCAUAGUGAGCUGCGACAAUGGUUUCGGUGGUGUUAGCUUUAUUGGAGGAGAAUCUCGAUUUUCCCGUCUGUCUCUUUUGUCAGAUCCUCUUGCCCCGUCUCUGUUUCUUCUUGUGCCGGAUUCUCUAGGUGGACUAUCAUUCCGUGAACUGGUAUCUACUUUCUUUCCCUUCUCCGCUAUGGCAUUGACCGUUACUGUUGACACAUUUGGUGCCCUUCUAGAGGCUAUGUCUUCUAGUCUGAUGUACUUUUUCUGUCUUCUGAAAAAGUUCAUCCAGUGUCCCCAUCCGUGAAGAUACUAUGGAAUCAUAUCCUGGUGACUUCUUGUUUAUUCCCUUUUGAAACGCCACCACAGCUGUCCUCUCAUCCACACCGCCAUCUGUUCUCAAAAUCUCAUUUUUGAAAUUAGUAACAAAUUUUCUGAGGGACUCACCUGAUGCUUGUUCUAAAUCGAAUAAUGACGCUAUAUCUGCCGCCUGUCUCUUCUGAUGGAUGUAAUGUUUGACAAACAUUUCGCUCAACUGAGCAAAACUUGAGACACUUCCUGGCGAUAAACUAAGAUACCAACCUGUGGCGUUGUCUUUCAAGCUGCUUGGGAAUAACCGACACCACAUUCCAUCAUAUUGACUUCCUUCCCAAGCCGCCAUCUUCUGCUUAAAAUUGCUCAAGUGUUGCACAGGAUCCGUAGUUCCAUCAUAUUCAUUGAACUUUGGAAAUUGAAACUUACUUGGAAACCCAUGAGGUAGCAUAUCUCCGCCAGUGGUCUUUUGCCUAGCCUUUCCAGAUCUUGAGUCACCUUUAUGUUCUUUCCUUUACUCUGCGUCUUUACAUCUUCCUGAAUCUUGCAUAUCAUAUCGAAGAGCCUGGUGUAAGGAUCACUUGUUGGAAUCUCAUCAUCAUUGACUCCCUCUUUUUGUUCCACUUCACGGAUUCUCACGCCGGACUUUCCUGAACCUUCCACUUCAUCAUUCCUCUGUGCUUGCAAACUAGGCCUGACACCACCUUCUCCCCCUCCUUGUGUUAACCCUUCUGCUUGUCUCCUUAUGUUUACAUUCCUAAUAACUUCAUUUUCUCCUUCUUGAAGAUUCUGGUGUUCCCCCUCAUCUCUUUUCCCAACUCUUCUCUCAACCUCUGGUUCUCCUCUCUUAACCUCAUUGUUUCAUCCUCUACUUCGUGAGUUUGCUCUGGUUGGUUGGCCCGUGGAACUCCACCACCUGCUGCACCCCCAGGGUAAGUAGACGAUCUGGUCUGCGUUACCAUUUCUUCUCUUCUUCCUCUUUCCGUUACUUACUAACCCUAGAUCUGAGGUUGGAGGUUCAGCCCCUCCUUCUAACGCCAAAUGUAAGCCCUCUCUUGAGCUUAGUUACUAAUCAGUGAUGAUGAACCUUGUUCUUCUUCUCUCCUCGAAAUACCUGCAAUGACCAGCAAUUUUGCUCCGGUGGGUAAAACUCCAACGAUCAAGUUAGUAAUGGAGGCCGAGUUUAGAAAUGAGUGCAAUCAAAGAAUGAAUAGUUACCUUCAGUUUGCCCUACAUUAUUCCUUAUAUAGCGGUUUAUGUCGCUCCCUCCUUACCUUUUCCUUGUCCCUACGUGGUUUCUUUUCCUCCAUGUAUUCUGAAUAAGUGUUUGACAGCUAGCUCUCACGUGCCUCGUCUAUGGCACUCUAGAAUGUUCUUAGGUCUUAUCUCCUAUCUCUCGAUUCUUUUCUCUGUUUUACUCCUUACGUGCCUACUCCGCCACGUAAUUAACUAAGUAAGGCACUUACAACUAUAGUUUUCCAUUUGACAAUCAUGCUGCUCCUACGAAGCAGCAGUUCUUUUAGUGUGACAAUCUUGGGUUUUCUAUCCCCAGCAACACUGAUGAUCUGAUGUUUUUUUAUACCUUUAAAGCUCAACUCAUCUGGCCCUUUCACUGUAAUUACCUCGGGAUAUUUCGUCAAAUCCUUAGUGUCAAACAAUUGAUUCACCAACUGUGAUCCUCCUAAAGCCAAAUCUUCCAUGUUGCACCAAAAGUGGAUCUCAAGCCAAAAACUUCUUAACUUGUUGUAGAUCUCAAGUUUCUUUCUUCAAUUCUUUUAUAUGAACCCUAGAUUUCGAAGAGAACAAAACCGAUGAUGGAUUUAAAUAGAAAACCAAAAGUGGCCGGACAUCAUAUUUGGGCUCAACCGACGCUAAAUAGACUCCUAAAUGUCGGUUGAUUAUUUUAUGUUGGCCCAAGCCCAGCCCAAAUUGACGCACCCAAUGUUCUUUCUUCACUGUGAGAGAGAGAGAGCUUUGAUUUCCAUUUUCAAUCUUCUUAACUGGGAAAGAAGGAAGCAGCAAACACACACACACACACCUGGUACGUUUUUCUUACCUCUUCUUCUUCUUCCUUUUAAGUUCCAUCGAAACGAUCAUUCAAACAAUCCCCUUCCUUUAUUUUUUGUUUCAGAAGACAACAUGAGAAGCUAAGUACUGAAAAUUUCAUCGAAAUAUAACAAUGGGGGUCUUUUUAUUUUUGUUUUACUUCAAUUAUUAGUUCCAGAAAGAAAAAUUAUAUUCUAUAUGAAUGUGUUUUCUUCAAUAUCAAUAUAGAAGGUUUGGAGUCGUGGGGAGGUUUUGAGGAGAAGUGUUUUAGCUGACUCAAUGAAUUCAAAGAGGAUAUGAAGAGUUCUGAAUGGUAUAGAGGAUCUAAAAAUGACUAAUUUGUGGUUUGAUGAGUUGUAUAGAUCUAUUGGUUCUUAUAAUGAACUUUACCAUUCCAUUAGGUUGUAGAAUUACUGGAAAAUUUCUCAAAUUUCGAGUUGUUUUGCGAUCUGUUUGUUGUGGUAAUGGGAAAGACAAUGCUGGAAACAAUGGGUAUGAAGAAAAAAUGGAUUUUGAUUCUAAUUUGGACUGGAAACCUGUUGUGGAAGGCACCCUUCUUGGGAUUUCCACUCAAGUAAAUGAUGAUGACGAAGAAAACGAUUUCCGCCACUCUUUUUUACCUCGGCGGAGAUUUUUUGAAGAUGUUAGAUUUAAUGUUGAGAGAGUUAUUGAAAUUCUUCAACAAGAUGGGCCAGAUUUUGAUUCUAAGCUGGCUUUGAAUAAAUUAAGGUUAAAGGUUUCGAUUUAUCUUGUUAGGGAAGUUCUUUUAAGGAUCUUGAGAAGUAUUACUCACUUGAAUAAGUGUAGAUGUGCUAGGUUGGGAUUUAAGUUCUUUGUGUGGUCUGGUGAGCAGGAAAAACAAUGUCACAACUCAAAUACAUACAAUUUGAUGAUGAAGAUUUUUGCAGAUUGCAAUGAGCUCAAGAAAAUGUGGAUUUUGCUUGAUGAAAUGACGAUUAAAGGUUUUUCAACUACUGCACGAACAUUUAAUAUAAUGCUGUGCACUUGUGGCGAGGCUGGUAUGAGGAAGAAAGUGGUGGAGAGAUUCAUUCAAUCGAAGACGUUUAAUUUUAGACCAUUUAAACAUUCAUUCAAUGCUAUUCUGCAUUCACUUCUUGUCAUAAACCAAUACAGGUUGAUAGAAUGGGUGUACCAACAAAUGAUACUUGAGAAGCAUUCUCCUGAUAUUCUAACUUAUAAUGUACUUAUGUAUGCAAAGUUGAGGUUGGGGAAGUUGGAUCAGGUCUAUCGUGUGCUUCAUGAAAUUGGUAUGAAUGGAGUUUCUCCAGAUCUUCAUACAUACAAUAUCUUUCUCCAUGUACUAGGAGCUGGAGACAACCCUCUUGAAGCUCGUAAUCUCUUGAUACAUAUGAAAGAAGUUGGUUGUGAACCCAGAGUAAUUCACUUCACCUCACUAAUACAUGGUCUGGGUCGGGCUGGGAAUCUGGAGGCCUGCGAGCAUUUUUUUAAUGAAAUGGUUCAGAAUGGAUGCAUGCCUGAUGUGGUGUGUUACACAGUCAUGAUAACAGGAUAUGUUGUAGCAAAUGAGUUAGAGAAGGCUCGGGCAAUGUUUGAUGAGAUGAUCAUCAAUGGGCAGUUACCAAAUGUUUUCACCUACAAUGCGAUGAUCCGUGGACUUUGUGUUGCUAAGAAGUUUGGGGAAGCACGCUCUAUGCUCCGGGACAUGGAAUCUAGAGGUUGCAAUCCCAAUUUUGUUGUAUACAGUACACUAGUGGAUAAUUUGAGAAAAGCUAGGAAGUUUCCAAUGGCUCGUGAAAUAAUGAGAGAGAUGGAGGCGAGGGGGCUCUAUCACUAUGUUGAUCUCCUUGCCAAAUAUAGAUAUAGGAGGCGCUAAAGAGUCAGAAUCCGAUUAAUUGCAAUUCUUUCGUCAUGUUUUUGAAAUAUGUACUGCAGCCUCAAGUCAUCGCAGCUCGUUGACAACUGUGGUGGGCAUAUGUUGACCAUCAGAAUGGCCAUCUCAAGUUGAGGUAUGUAUUAUCUUAUAGAGUUAAAUUUGAUGGUCUUAUGUAAAACAUGAAGGUCUGUAUCUGUAUUAUACUCUUUUAAUUACACAAGAAUUCCAUGUAGCUUCAUAAACUGUCCUAUAUAUUGCCCUCACAAUAAUAUUACCCACAUUUGAUGAGCUGCAGCAUUACACAGUCAAAUAACUGGAAUUCCUAUGAUUACAUUGAUCAGUUCAAAUAUUAAUACAAUAGAAGGUGUCUCAAGAGUUGUUGUUUUUUCCUUGUGAAGGUCCUAAAUGUUCCUUUUAGAGUAAAUAGUCUAUGAUUUCUCAUAACUCAAUCUAAUUAUACAAUUUGAAGUUCAAGAAUGUUUUAUAUCUAGUGAGAAUCAUCAAUUGGAACUACUAUUUUUAUGAUAAUUAACUCUUGGCCCCCUCAUUCGGGCUACAGCAUCCUAUUUAACAUCGUAACUUUGUACUAAUGUUUUAUAGUUGAUGUAUUUGUUAGGCAUUCAUGAGGUAGCCCAACAUCGAUAAAAACAGAAACAUAAUUGUGUGGUUGUAUUGCCACAGCACUUUUUGGUCUGUGCAGCUGUGCUUCACAAGAUAACUGUCUGAGAUUCUGGAAUGUUUUAUUCUGUACAAUGAUUUCUUUUAUUCUGUUUUCCACAAGUGUACAUCAUUGAACACUAUGCCCCUUUGUGUUGGUUCACUCAGAUGCUAGACUCAAAAGGAGCAUAUUACUAUGAAGUGCUGCUCGAUAUGCAGAUACUGCCCAAGGCUUAGAGAUUAUGUUCGGUGCCGUUACUGUGUACAGAACACGACUAAACUGGCUUACUUGUACUGAGUUCAAAGCAUCUACUUGCAUUAUUUUGUCCCAAUGGCACUGUAACUUUCUCGAGACAAAUGACCAUAUGGACUCAAGAAGUUGGGUAGCAGAGUAGCAGACCAAUUAAUUCUGUUGCCAGAGAUGUUGUGUUCCAAAGUAGAAGCAGAGUUGGCAAUAUGUGAAAUUUUAAUGUAUUUAUGAUUGGUUAGGAUACUCACAAAUAAGGAGAGAGGUAGUAGUGUAGUAUUGUACCCAUAAUUUUUUCCAGUUCAUUCUCUCUGAGAUGUAUUGAUUGAAAUAUUACACGACAAUUGGAAAGCAUCAUGAAUGUAUUUGCAAAGAUGCUGGUAUGUGUUUGAUAAAAGAUUUUCUUAUUUCAAUGAGAAUGACACAUCAUUCUUUUAGUGAAUUUGACCAAAAGCCAGGUGACGAAGGCAGCAAAACUAACAUUUACAGGAUUACAUCCUAAUUUAAUCCCAUCUAUCGAUCAGUGUGAAUAUUCCUGGAUAUCAUGGCCUUUGCUGGAUAUAGGCAUUUGCAGGUUUGCCAUUUUUUUACCUGCCAGAAAAUAAAUGUUAGAAAAGUCGAGUAAUAACCUCAAAUAAUAUCAGUGUGUUCAAUUUGAACCUUCAUUUGCAAUAUAGAACAAACCUAAAAAUGACUUCUUCACAGGUCACAAGUGAAAAUGACUUCUUCACAGGUCACAAGUGGGAAUGGAAGUGGUUCAUUGUUCACCCUUGCAUGAAGUCAAUAGCCUGUUCAUGUUCUAUGAAGACUUUCAAUAGCCUGUUCAUGUUCUAUGAAGACUUUGAAGCUGGAGAUAAAGAAAAAAAAAGAAACCGAGAUGUUUUUGGGCUGUUAAUGGGCUCAUCUUUCCGCCUGAAGCCUUUUAUCUGACGAGUCGACGACGUAAUAAAAAAUGAGAGCGCGUGAUGAUGUAUGUAUGGCUAUUUGUUAAGCUAGAAAACACCUGCUGCAUGGUUGGAAAUGAGCUGUCACCCUGGAAGGGUUUUGUCAGGGUUUUACCAACAACAGCAAAAAGCUUCUCCUUCUUCACUUCUUCCUUCAACGCUCGCUUACCUCUCUCUCUCUCUCUCUCUCUCUCUCUCUCUCUCGUUUCAAUUGUAACAACAGUUUCCGUUAAUUCGACUACAUCUCCAUCAAAUUUCUUUGAAAGUAGAAGCUUAUUUUUCAGUCAUGCAGAGGACUCAAUUUUCAUAGUGAAGGUGAAUUAUCUUCAAACUGUUGAUCAUUUCUUUCUUAUUACAUUGAUUUUAAAUUCAUAAGUGUUUUGUUUCUUCAUCAUCUCUAACAAAAAAUCAUUCUUUUUCUUGCUCUUUUAAUCAAAUUUAUGGAAAAAAAAAACAAAAAACAAAUAAUGACAAUGCAUAAGAAUAGUUUUUAAUUAAGAAUAGUACUACUACUACCUACUAAUUAAUAACGGUCGGUUGAAUGUUGAAUUAAGUACUUUAUCUUCAAUUUGUAUGUUAAUAACCUAACACGCAAUUAUAUUGUAGUAUAUAAUAUAAAAAUUGGUCUAAAUAAAAAUUGGGCCUACAAAAUUUGUAGUUUUCUUUUACAUAAUUUGUCAUAUACCUAAUUCUCACCAAAAAAUAAUGAAUUAUUUUUUGUAAAUUAAUAUCUUUGAAAUUCAAUACACUACAACAAUAUGUAAAAAAAAAAAAAAAAAAAAUCUACAAAGGAAAAUUCUGUUGACAUUAUUGGUUCCUUUUUGCAUAAUAUGUUAGUCCAGAUUAUGGUAAUACUAUAUCCAUAAUGAUUUUCCUUUUUCUUAUUUGUCGCCAGUGCACUGUGGCCUGUGGGUGCAGGUAGAGAAGGAGCUAAGAUGACAGAACAUAAAAGGAGACCUGCGUCACUUGAACCUGCAGUUAGCCUCAGUUGUGGUACAAGGCAACGUUACAAAACAGAAGUUCCUAUCUCCAGAAAGGUCGUUUCCUCGCUCUUAUCCAGAUACAUUUCCAAUAUUUUUAUUCACUAGAUAGUAGCAGUAGCUACAACACCAAAGGAUUGAAGUUUGUUUCAUUUGGUAAAGAUGAAGCUGAAAUCUUUACGCCAGAACUCAAUGUUGUGUACUCUCUUAGUCCCUUGCAACAUUAAGUGGAUGAGUUGAUAUUCUGUGUGUCAUUACCAUGCUGACUUCAUAACUAACUAUUUUAUUGUUUUUUUCAUUUGCAGGAGAAAAAAGAGAUUAUGGGGGAGAGAGUCGCAACACUGCAGCAGCUUGUUUCGCCAUUUGACAAGGUAUGGAAAUCUUAUUUAGUUUUGCUAUGAAAAGUGAAACUUGAUAUUAUUGAGUUAAACCAUAAAAGCAAAGGAGCUCUUCCAUAAGCAUUUAACAGUGUAACGUAAAGUCACACGCUUAACUAUGGAUUUAUCCCUAUGUUAUGCUGUCCACUCUUUGCAGAUGUCCAACCUCUCAUUCUUUCAACCUUGAAUAAGAAAAUACGAUGUUUGGAAUAUAUUUGUUUUUGGUUGAUGCAUGUAACUGUUUGACUUUCAAUAAUCACAAUUGUUGCUUUGAAGCUGUAAUUCCCCUGUUCUUAUUUGAUCUCACAAUGAGGCUGUUCCCCUGAUGUUGGUAAUAAGCAUAUAUACUGAUUUGACUCCCAUGUAACUGCACUCAUUUGUAUAUUUGGACUCACAAAGUCACAAGCCGGCCGGCCAUAUGAAUAUGCUAUUAUACUGUUAAAACCUAAUCACACUAUCAAGUAAGACUCUUAAUAUAUGCUGUUUAAUCCUACUGUUGUUUCGACUUUUGCUGGAAACAGACAGAUACGGCAUCUGUCCUUUUUGAGGCAAUGGAGUACAUCAAAUUUCUUCAUGAUCAAGUUAAGGUUCGAUACUGCCUCAGAUCUUACUUUAUACUUGAAAUUUCCAUCUUCAAUUUCAGGCAGUUCCUAAGUUAAUUAUUUAACAGAAUGUAGGAUGUGUUGUUCUCAUCAAUUUGACAAAAAAUAUUUGUGACUUUCAAACUCAAGUAAAGGUUUUAUCUUUCAGUGACAAGGAUGGAUUUUAUGAGAUGUAGCAACAACAUUAUUUCCUUGUUUCACUAAUCAUGUGAAUUUAAAUGCCAUUAAUGAGUGGAUUUUUUUUAUUGGGACGAUCUCUGAUGUGAUCAUUUCAAGUCAAAUCAGUCCGCUCAUUCCAUGUGAGUGCCAUUAAUAAUUAAUGGUUAUUAGUAUAUUAGCAAUUUAGCAUGCCCACCUGAAAUAUAUUCUAGUCAAUUAAAGAAAUAUUUUUCAAAACGAAUUUAGUUUUGAUGAUCUGCCAAAAUAAGGGAACAAAGCUAAUGGAUUUUGGACCAUCCUCUUAGUUAUUUUGUGGCAUGGAAAAUCGAUAUAUCUCAUUGAACUAUCUGACGAUUGACUUCAUGAGGUAUUACUGCAUUAGAGUGGGUCUAUUCUGAAUAAAGACUGUUUGAUGUAAAGGUCAUUUUUUUGGUCUAUACCACUAAAGACUGCACUUAUGUGAUAUUCAUAUUCAUGAAGUUCUAUUAUUUGAGUACAUGGUUGGUUGGAUUUCUGUAUGGGUGGAAAAUUUUCAUCACCAUGGUGAAUUGAAAUGGUAGUAAGCAUUUGAAUUCAACUGCCUGCAAAGUUGCCAAGAGAUUUAAUGUUCUAGAACUGUAUUCAGCUUCAGUUAUGGUUAACCUUAUAGUUGUCUUUUGUGUGUGCCAUCAGGUGUUGAGUGCUCCCUAUCUUUUGAGUGCAUCAACAAGGGAGAUGCAGGUAGACUAUCUACAGUUUCAGCUGUUAGAGGAGAGGAAACUUAGUGGUACAAAAAGAUGCUUCAUAUAUAUUAUACCUUAAAUUAGUACAUCACCUUAACCAGUGGCAAUUAAUUUUGUUUUAGGAAUCAGCGCUGUUUGAUCUUCGAAACCACGGGCUAUGCCUUGUACCUAUCUCCUGCACACUGAGAGUUACUCGUGCCAAUGGUGCUGAUAUCUGGGCUUCUAUGAAGGGCAGCGCCCUGUAGUUCUAACUUAUCUGAGACUGGGAGUCGCCGUUCCUGGUCGUCAGUAAGAGCCUACAGAGACUUUGGAGUAGUUAUCACAAUGACAGUGAUCGAUAUUAGAGGGCAUGAAGACGUACAGUGUAACAAUGUUGAUAGUGUAUAUAUUUAUGUUGUAAAAUGUAGCAUCUUUGUAAUUUCUCAACUUCAACCAAUCUAUAACGAUGCAAAACAACACAAAUGCAACAAUCAUUCGAUCAACUUCAAAAUUUAAAGCGAGAGAAAGAAAGAAGAAACUCUUUCUGAUUCUGCUGUAUCUAUCAAUUUUUAGCAACCAGCUGAGUUCACUUCCUCUGCUUUUUUAAGGGUAUUUGUGUAAUUUCAUUCACAUGGGAUUUUUUUAAGAAUGGAUAAAGUCCAGCCCACCAAGGAGACAGACCAAGCGCAAAUAUAGCUGGAUAUUUGCGUACUUGGCUGAUAUCUUAAUUCUUUUUUUUUAGUUGUAUUAAUUCAUGUAGGCCUGUAGGGUAAUCCCUUUUAUGUAAUCAUGUCGGAUUUUUAUGGAUAAAUGGUGUGUUUUUUUCUUAAUAAACCAUCUAUAAUUUGACAUUUUAAUUAAACAUUACUUAAUCGUAGAUAGAUAAACCAAAUAUGUAGGCAAAUAUCAGUGGAGAUUGGAAAUAUCCAUUUAUAUUAAUUUAACAAUAGAUGUUGAAAAACAAAAAAAAAAUUGGUGGUCAUUAGUACUCCAAGCUUGCAAGAACUUCUCAGCCACGAGAAGAACCACCACCCACCACAUAAUAAAAAUCUUUAGCAUUAUCUUUUCAUCAUCUGAACCAAUCAUUUCUCUCUGUGGAUCCUCUCUGAUUCUUAAAAAAAUCCCUUUUAUAUUUUCUGCUUCCAUUUACACUGUUUCCCUUCUUUUCUUUUGGAGAUCUAUUCUCCACAAUCUCUCUUUAAAUCAUAUAUACUUAAGCUUGUGUUGUCAGGGUAUAUUGGAAAUAUAAGUAUGAUUUCUUAAAACUAAAGUUCACUACAAAGCAAGCUAGCUUUUCAUACAGUUGUAGUAAUCAAAAGAAAGAAGAUCAUAUUAUAUUACUAGGGGAGGGGAAAGAUGAAAAUCCAAUGUGAUGUGUGUGAGAAAGCUCAAGCUACUGUGAUUUGUUGUGCUGAUGAAGCAGCUUUAUGUGCAAAAUGUGAUGUGGAAGUUCAUGAAGCAAACAGACUUGCUAGCAAACACCAGAGGCUCCUCCUUGAUAGCCUAUCCACUAAGCUACCUCGAUGUGAUAUCUGCCAAGUAAAUCACCUUUUCUUAACCUUUGUUUGAUGGCAUAAUAAACUUUCAGCUUAUAAAUUAUUAUUAUUAUUAUAUCUUGUAGUUCAUGAGAAUAUACUAAACUUUCUGCUGAUUAUUAUUUAUUUUUGUUUUCAAUCACCUUACAUAAAUUUCCUGACUUUAAAGGUAGGUUUUGUCUUUGGCCAAAAUUUCCUCAUUCUAGAAUGGUAAACUGUAUUAAUAUGCUUCAUAUCUUGUAAAAUUAUACUCUCCACAGAAAUCUGAAAAUUUUCAGUAUCAAAUACAGCCAUUUUAUCAGUCCUGUUGAUUCAGUUGUCCAUAUUAAUUUUUUGACACAAGAAGUCCAAGGGCAGUGUGUGUGUGUUUUUAGGAAAUUUCAACAAGAACAGCUUAUAAUUAAAGUUCACUACAAAGCAAACUUGUGUGCAUACCAUGCAUCCCCAUUUUAACCCUCAUCGUCAACAAUCUACAGGAGAAAACUGCUUUUAUAUUUUGUGUGGAAGAUAGAGCACUGUUUUGCCAGGAUUGCGAUGAGCCAGUCCACUCAGCUGGCAGCAUUGCUAGCAACCAUCAACGUCUUCUGGCCACUGGAAUCAAGGUGGCUUUGGGCUCCAAGUGUGCCAAGAACGCUGAAUUGAUACGUUCAGAACCUCCCAAUCAAAAUUCACAACCACUUAUUUCCAAAAGCCUGCCCACUCCUCAACCUUCUACUUGCACAUCUCCUACUUCAUGGGCUAUUGAUGACUUGCUGCAGUUCUCAGAUUUUGAUACAAAUGACAAGGUAUGACUUUACACAAUGCAUGAUACACUAAUGUUGUGCUAUUGAGGAACCACUCAUAAUUAAACAAAAAUAAUCAGAGAUGCACAAACCUAUAAAUCAUACUGCUGAAAUGUACACUAUUGUUUUGUUUUAUUGACGACAUGAUGGACAUAUGGACAUAUUAUAUAUAUAAUCUCAUGGUUAACCAAAUUCCAAACUCUCCUCUAUUUAAUGCCCAUUCUAUUUAUUUUGCAGAAAGAAUCUAUUGGGUUUGGAGAUCAGUUCGAAUGGUUUACAGAUAUCGGUCUGUUCAAUGACCAAGUUCCUCAAGAAACCUUGGCAGCUGCAGAAGUUCCUCAACUUCCGGUUUCAAAACCAAGUAAUCUGCCUCUGCACAGAAGUAUCAAAUCCUACAUGCCUCCUAACAAGAAACCUAGGAUUGAAGUCUCAGAUGAUGAGGAAUACUUCACAGUCCCUGAUCUUGGUUGAAUGGGCAAAGGCUACUAAUGUGUAUGUAAACACUAUUCACUGCAUAUAUAUUGUAUUGUGUUAUUCAUAAGGUUUGGUUCAGGUUUUGACAUGAUUUGAGAUAAAAAAACCAAGUUGAAAAACACUGAGAUGCUCUCAAAGUGUAAUAUGCAUAAUCUUUCCCAUAGCUUUUGGGUUUAAUGUAUUUUGAUGAUGAAAUGUGAUUGUCGUGUAUGUUAAGCAUUUUGAUUGAGCUUUCACGACAUCCCAACUAACCUCAAAAUCACAUAAAAUCAGAGCCUGCAUGGCCUCCAUCAACUGGCUGGACAUUUUGUGGCAGGUGGAUGGUCUUUCACAAAUGUUAAGCGCGCAAUAAUCUCAAAGUGUAAUACUGGGCAACCCUCUUUUCAUGUUCAAGCCAUAUGGCAUGUAAGCAACUCUUAUUAGUUGCUAGAUUGAAAUUACGUCCAUCUAAUAUCGGUGUUUCCAGAGGGACCUCAUUCCCAGCCAUUUUAAAUAUUUAAUCACUUUCAAGAAAGAUGUGGCUAAAAUCUUCUAAGAACUGCCUGGCCAAGACUUGGUCAUACAUCAGUUUCUGGGGAACUAAAGGGAUAACAUUCCAUGAUUGGCAUGCCAUAGUGUCUCAUGUGCGAUUAAAUUUUCCUCAACAUAAAUGUCAUAGGAAGUAUUUUUCCAAAUUGCUAAUUGUUUUUCAAAUCUAACUUCUAGACAGAUUAAGGGUACUGUAAUACAUAAAAAUGCAGAAAACAGAAAGAUUCUGGGGACUUACAGUUGAAGGGUUGGAUGAGCUUUUCAUUUAUCUUAUCCAAAAGACUGGAGCUCGCUCUCCAUAGUUGCAAAAGAGGCUCACAGCCCUGUUAUCUAUGACAUUCAACUUUGUCCAUAAUUAUACAUUCUUCUAAGAACUACAAUACAAUAGCAUGUGGGUAGCAUUCGGUAACCUCCAUCUGCAAUUGGCCCCAUACUUGCUUGUGUUUCUCUAGCUUUGCUCCUGUGCUAGCUAGAAAUGCCUCCGCCCAUGGUUCAUUCUUCCCUCUCAUGCUCAGAUCAUAAGGCACUGAAAAACUGUUCGAUUGAUUAGGGAAGGAACAAUUAAUAUCACACAUUUUUUCAACCAUGACUGUACUACCAGGCAACUGAUUGAAUGCUUCUUACUUACGUACGUAUCACAUAAGUUGAUCUAACAUACAUUUAUGUGUCAAUAAAUGCAUUUGUCAAAGAAGAAUUUCACUUAAAGCGGUAUGUACAUAAGCUGCUGAUGGCAUCCCCUGCAAACAUAGGCAAGUUUGAUGGUUGGAUUCUAACAUUAAGAUGAUUCAUAGCCUUCGGUACUCUUGGUGGGUUGCCCAAUUACCAAACGUUUGCUAAGUUUGCAAAGACAGCGGGAUUCAUAUCUGAGUCUUAUACACACAUUUUCAUUUGGUCCUAACCAUUAUAAAGAAUCUGAAACCCAAUGACAAGUCACACUUCCUCAAACAUCACGUCAUGCAUCCCAAGCAGAUGUACGGUUGUGUGCAAGGAUAUAAUGUAGAACUUAGAAGAAAGAGAUAAGAAUCUCUCAAAGAAGAUGAGAAGAUAGGGUUAGGAACCUAGACGAACGUGAAGCUUGGAAUCCACCAAGUAAAAAGAAGGAAAAGAUGAAUAAGCUAGCAAGAAAACAAGGAUAACUCAAGAAGCAAUUCUUCUAUUCAAUUCAAUAAUAAUCAACCUCUAACUAUUACAAUAAUCUAGAGCUACUUUUAUAGAGCAAGAAGCUUGUUUAACAAGUAAAGGACUUCUAAAUUAAACGACUUCUAAAAACAUAAUGAUUCCUAAUAUAAUAUACUUAGACCUAAAACAAUAUAUUCUAGAACCUAUUUCAUACUUAGAAUUAAAAUAGUAACUCCUAACAUGUCCUACAUCAGGAUAUUACAGCUAAAGACCAAUCUAGCAUAAAUAUUGUAGACAUCAAAACUACAUUCCUGUUCCCUAUAAUAAUUCAUUUCAUUUCUUAGGGGAACCACACACUCACACACACACACAAAAGAAUAACUAUACCUCAUUAGUUCUUCUUGUCGUGUUGCCUCACCAGAUAUACCUCGUCUGCAAAGCAAUUGAUAUAGGCUUGGUCAGCAACAACCUUAAUGAUGAAAUUAAGCUGCAGCUGAAAUAUUGAAAGGAAAUGGUCAAACCUGCAUACUAGUAUCUUAUAGAGAUGAAGAGACUUUGUGGAUAGAUUGUAUACAGCAUCUUCAAUGUGCUCCUUGCCAAACAAGUAUACGACCGGAUAGCCGAGAAGCCAUCUACAGCGAAUUAAAAAACUAGUUUAGUGCUUUAUUUACUACUAACACCAAGCCAAAAUGAUAUAAAUCCUCUGGUCAGUUUCAUAUUGCAUAUGUCUAAAUAAUUGUAAUUAUGCAAUGAGCAAGACAGAGGUUUACCCAUUCAGGGUCGGAAUGGUUACUGAACUCUCUUGCAUGCAGCUACUGAGGUCAAUGAAUUUAGAAGAUUGAGAAGUGGUAUGCUCAGCAGGCAAUAGAUAUUCACUUAUUCCAUCAACAGGAAAUGCCUUUGAAAAACUCUUCUGAACGGAUACAAAUUGUGCGGCUACUGAAUUUUGUUCUGCGUGGUUUAUCAUCUGCAGGGAGAUAAGUGGCCAUACAAACCAAAAACUGCUUAAAAUACAAUACUAAGACUUGAUUAACAUGAUAGAGUCUAAUCAGAAAAAUGACCUUGGGAGGAUCCUGUUCAAGAUCAACAAAGAGCAGACCUGUUUCUGAGUUAAGGCUUGACAUGACAUGCUUUGCAAGUUCUUGGACAUUCAACAAAUAGAUCAUGUCUUCAAUAACCAUUACUCUUAUGUUCCCUAAAAUAGACGACUCCUGAGAUUCAAAAAACAAAAGCUAAAUGUAAGAAUCUUAUAAACAUUAUUAACACAAUUGACUAAUUUUAGCACAUGUACUUAUUUAUGGAUUAAUUUAUCUAAUGUGUGAUUUUUUUUCCUUCAUCUGAUGGUGCCUCCUUUAAUUAAGUUAUUCAAUUCGUGAAAAAAUCCAUUGACUUCUCCACUAAAAAUCCUUUCUAGAUAAUUCUAAAUUUUGCAAUUCUAUCAAUGGAAAACAACAUCUUAUAUUAAAAAAACUUUUUAAGAUUGUUCUAACCUUUUGACUAAGUUGCAAUACAUCACAAAGACGCUCUUGCAGUUCUGGCAUCUUACCACCAUAGUCCACCAUAACUACCGGUCUCAUCCCUGUACACAAGGCUACAAUAUCUGCCCAAACAAGUUAAUACUUAUACAACUAGGUAUGUGCAUUAGAUCAAUUAUGUGCUUAGGAAUUAUGAAGUAAAUUAUUAUACUAUAGCAGAAAUAAACAGAUUAAAUACCAAUUUCCAAUCGACAUCUUGCAGCAGCUUUAAGUCGCCAUUUAAUUCGCAAAAUACAUGAAUUCACUACUUUCAGUACUUCAUCUAGCUCAGCAACAAUCUCCAUUUCAUUUCAAUGUUGGGAUGAAAUUGUUCUGUUUUGAUGAUUCAUUUCUUGCUCUUACUGUAUUCAUGGGCCCAUGGGUUUGUUCCAAGUCCAAUAAAGCCCACAGUCAGAUGGACCGAAAACGGGCCGGGCUGAAGACGCGGUGGACCCCGAAUACGAUUUAUAUUAAUUAGAUUAACAAACAAGGCGUGCGACUGAGACCUAGUAGCUUAGAUAUUCUCUCACUUGUUUCUUCUUCUCUGUUUGCGUGAGGGUGAGAGAGAGAGAAAAGAAAGGCAAAAGAAGAAGAAGAAGAAGAAAGAACUGAAAUCAACAAUAGAAACCCUAGAAAAACCCUAAAAAGAAAGAAAGAAUUUGGACAGGAGAAUGGAUGCUUUAAGAAAGCAAUUAGAUGUUUUGAUGGGAGCGAAUAGAAACGGCGACGUAACUGAAGUGAAUCGAAAGUAUUACGAUCGAGAUGUUUGUCGUCUUUUCUUGGCUGGUCUUUGUCCUCAUGAACUAUUCCAAUUAACUGUAAUUCCUUUAUCUCUCUUUCUUUCUCUCUCUUUCUCCAAUUCAACUUAUAUAAGAUCUUGUAUUGUUAAUUACUUAAUUAUUGAUUUGCAAGCUUUCAAUUGAACCCUAGUUUGUUUGUUUUUGUUUAACAGAAAAUGGAUAUGGGACCUUGUUCCAAGAUACACUCAUUGCAGCUUAGGAAAGAGUAUCCUUACUAUGUUCUUUUUGUAGUUUUAUGUUUUGAUAAGUUUUUCUUUAAAUUGAACCUUGUAAUAGAAGAUAAAGUUGUCAGUUAUGUAUGAUAUCUUUGUUAAAAUUCAGAUCUGUUGUUUUAAAUUUGUUCAAUUUGGACUGGGGAUAUAUUAGGUAAACAUUAGGGUUAUUGGAUAAGCAACAUUGCCAUGGUCACUAACACAACCAUGCGAUGCCCUACUUCAAAGCCCAGUAAAAUAUGAAAUAGUAAUAGUGGAGACUUACCAGCAUAUUUAUUUCAUACAUCUCUACAUGGUUUAUCAUCAUCAGACAGCCGCAAAAUUCACCUCUCCCUAUUGAAGAAUGUGGAAUACCUCUGUUCAUGUAUAUUUAGCUCCAUUGUAAUCCCAUGUGCAUAAAAUGUUUCUGACAUAUCCACUAGAUGUAAUAUGCUCACUGUGGUUUCAAUGUUUACUUGUAACAAGGGGCUCUUUUUGCAAAUCUACCUCUAGUUUCCAAGUCCAGUAAAUGUUUUUCGAGGUAAUGGUGAAAUCCAGAGAAGGAACUUAUCCACACAAUUAAUUACAAAAUUCUCUUCAAAAUCGCACCAAAUUUGGCUUGAAUGCAAUGAACACUACAUUCUGAUCUGACCAAUAGCUUUUCAUAAGAUAUGUGUUUUUCCAAAGCCUCGACUUUUUCUGAAGAUUUUUCAUGCUUUUGCAUUUAUAUCAUUUUUUAGGAUACCUGACAGAAUCUUUAUUUGAAAAGUUAUCCUAAGCCCUUCUCAGUUACAAUGAUGCCAAAGCAAAAGGUGGUCAUAAUUUUGAUAGGGAAUUGGAAGAUGUCAUAGAUAGGCUGAUUGUAGAGUGUGAUCGGAAAAUUGCAAGAGCUCUUAAGCGGUUGGAGGAUGCUGAUGCUAAAGCUGCUAUUGCUAUCUCUGUAUCUGAAGUUACCCAGGUAAGUCAUCUACAUCAUACGGGCUCACAUUAUUUAAAAAACCUCUCUUCAUUUACCUUUAAUUAAAAAUUCGUAAAAUGUGCAGACACCUGAGGUACUUGAGUUAUCAAAGCAAAUCAAGGAAAAAUUGAAAGAGGUUGAUCAACUUGGUAUGUCUUUACAUAUAAACUUUAUUAUCUUUUGUGCUUUUUGAACAUGGUAAUUAGAGCUUGGUAGUCUUAUUAUAAAUUGAAACACCUAGCCUUUUGUUUCAGUCAGGUACGUCGUACACAUACCUCUCAGUAGAAUUUUAUCAGUAGUGCUUAGUAAUGCUCUUGUGGGUAAUUUGAAGAGAUUUAGGAUUUCAGAUGUUGAUUAUUGUUAAUGAUUAUUCAAGCUCAUGGGUACAAUGUUUGUUCGUAACCAGUUCCCCUCUCAAAUGAUUUGGAAAAAUAUAACAUUUGCUACUGGUGAUCGUGGGGAUUAUUUGCCUUACUCUCGAUUAUUGGGUUGUUCUUUGCAAUUACCAGGAAAAGAAAAAUAAUUCCUUGGAAGGGAGGAUUUUUUUUUUUCCAUGAUACAUAUUAAUUAUUUUUUAAAUGCAGAGGACCACAGAAUCUCAAUUAUGUCCUUAAAUAACUGAAUAAGAAAAUGAGAUCAUGUAUUGCACUUGCAGAUUUUGAAGGCGAAACAGAUGGUAAGAUUCGGGCUAUGGAAGUAGUUGAAGAUCUCAGAACUAAAAGAGCAGACAAACAGGUUACUUUCUGCUUCUUAUUUUCGCUUACUUUGACACAUUAUAUUGAAGUCUUAUUCUUCUGAUUUCUUACAUGUUCGUAUUUGCAAUGACAGUCCGUGCUUCUUCUUGAUGCUUUCAAUAAGGAUAGAGCUUCCUUGCCACAACCACUAUUGAACCCUCCCCCAUUGGCUCCAUUACCUGUGUAUGCCCCUCCAGAUCCUCACACCCAGGAAAUGAUCAAUGAGAAGCUAAAGAAGGCAGAGGAUCUUGGUAAGGAUUACUUCUUAGAUAUCAUUUGGAUUUUGAAUUUCAUUUUUAAGUCAUGAAUGUUGGAGCGUAAGCCAUUUCCUUAGUUUAACUUUUUUUUGUUUUAAUAUUGACCUCGGGGGACUUGCUUUGACUUCUAUGAUCAUGACAUUUUUUUCCUGGUGUGUUGUAACACCAAGCUUUUGUGGUAUAUCAUGAUCAUAUCAACGAAUAUGCUGAUCAAUUAUAGGUUUGUAAGUAGUUCAGAAACAACCGAACAAUGUAGUGUAACUUUUGGUAAGAACUAAAUAAGGUUUUAAAAAGUCCAAUUAAGUUUACUCAAGUUAUUAGAUAUCUAGGAUUCAAACCUUGUCAACACCGAGUUACUGAUUUCAUUAGAAACAGGCUUACCUCCAAAUUACCUCUAAAAGCAGUGUCUUGUGUUUGUGCUCGUUUGGAGUUAAUUUUAAGCAGGGGGUAAGUUAAAAAUAUGGGUGGAGAAAAUUGUUUACCAGUCUUGCACUUUCAUUGUGCAUUCUGCACAUGAAUAUGGAAACAUGUUUUUAGCUUUUAUGUGGAUGCUUGGUUGUCCUUGCUUAAAAUUAGUAGACGCCUAAUUAAUAAUUGUGCACGAUAAGUUCAAAUUUUAAUAGUGUAAAUUUUGCAGGUGAGCAAGGGAUGGUGGAUGAGGCACAAAAGGCACUCGAGGAGGCUGAAGCUCUGAAGAAGGUUGAUUAAUUCUGUUUAUGUUCCAACUUUUCUUGAUCUCUAUUCGUUUAUUCUUUUUGUUGAGAUAAAUAGUCUCACAUGGAAUAAAAACAAGCUUAGCUAAUAAUCUACAAGCUCUACACCACUUAUUGUUAACCAUGUUUUGAGUUGGAUCCCCAAAACUAAGUACUUUUAAGAUUACAACAACUUUCUAAUUAUCGUUUUGGUUUCGAUGAUGGAUCUCUUUAGUGUUUUGAAUUUAUACCCUUGAUUUCAGCUACUUGUCUCACAUGUUCAUGCCUUUAUUUUCAGUUGGGUGCAAGGCAGGAAGCAGUUCUAGACUCUUCAAAGUAUACUGCUGCUGAUGUUCGCAUUGUGAGUUCAUUUUCUUGAAACCAUCAUAUCCUAUCACUACCGUUGCAUUGUAUUAAAAACUGGUCUUUGUUUUCACAAUCUUGACAAUGACCAUUGAGUUUUCAAUUCACUAAGCAGUGAUAUUAUUGAAGUUGGAAAGACAAUUGAGUACUGCUGUUUAUUUAUUAAGCGAUUGUCUCAUUUCAAGUUAUUUGCUUUGACAGACUGAUCAGAAGCUACGAGUGUGUGACAUUUGUGGAGCAUUUUUAAGCGUGUAUGACAGGUAAAUUACUGUUUUAGAAAUAUCUUGAUUGCUAUGGUUAAGUUCCGUACUGUGGGACAAAGAAGAGUAGUAUUAGGGGUUUCAAGUACUUCAGCUUCUGACCAGGCGCACUAUACCUCCUUGUCACCAGCAGGCUUUUGGGCCCAGUAUUACGAGGAUAACUUUUGCAGCUAAAGAAUGUGCGUGUUUUAUUAUUUCUUUGCUUAUCGAUUGUAUAACUGUUAAGAAAUAGCUUUACUUCAGUUGCAAUAUAGGAUUGUUUACGCAUGUUGGGCUGUGAAUAGCUGUUUUAGAAUUGUGUUUGAUUUCUAGUGACCGCCGUUUGGCCGACCAUUUUGGAGGAAAGCUUCAUUUGGGUUAUAUGCAGAUCCGCGAGAAGUUAGCGGAACUUCAGGUCAGGUUCCUUGUAUAUUUUUGUAUAUAGGUUUUCCCUUUGUACAAAGUUGUGUCCGGAACAUAAAAUCUUACGCUUUCCCAGGAAGAAAGAGAGGCAGGUCGAAAAGUGGCCCGUACUGAAGAUGAUAGAAGGUACUAUGCCCUAAAUAUUUUCUGAACGUGUUGCUUAUGCAACUGUACUUGGCAUAUCCUUGCAAUGCUAAAUAUGUGUGAUUGUAUGCAGAUCAAAAGAGCGCCUGCAAGACCAUGAAAGGGCAUCAAGCAGGGAUCGGGCUCGUGAUAGGGAGGAUCGAGGUGGUAGCCGAGAGAGAAGAAGGGAAUCUGAUCGUAAUAGUGACCGCAAUAGGUACUAUGAUAGAGACCGAGGUUAUGAUAGGGAAAGGGAAAGAGAUCGGUCUCGCAGUCAUGAUUCGAGGAGCCGCAAAAGGUCACGUUCCAGGUCCAGGGAUCGCUCUAGGGAUCAUGGGCACAGGUUGGUUUUUCAAAUCCUGUAAUUCUUGAAAAAUGACUAACAAAAGUGUAACACGAUAUUUUAGAUGGCCUUAUACCCUAUUUACUUUUCUCAUUCCCAGGCGGCAUGAUCGUUACUAAAGUUGGUACUGUUGUUGCGAAAGGAGAUUGGUUGAUGCAGAAAAAAAGAAGAGCUUUAGUGUAAUAUUGUUUCCGUCGAUGUAGAAUGUCAACAGAAGAGUGCUGCAAUGAUCUCUUUGUAGAAGUUCAGUGCUGCUCCUUUUCAGCUCCUUAGUAGUUGUACUUGGCAAAUAUGGCCAACUGUUGUGUUGUGGUCUUUUGCAGACUGAUAUAACAAUGAUCUGAUGUCUGCUAUCAAGUUGGAUGUUUCAUGUUGAGAACUGCUGCAACUAUUAGCAGUUUAUUAAGUAUGUCUGGAACUACUAGCAGUUUAUUGAUUGUGUCUGCAAUUAUUAGCAGUUUAUCUAGUAUGUUUUCUUACCUGUGUAUGAGAAUUUUGACUAUCAUUCCUGAAGUUGCUAUUCAGAGCAAAAUCUCUUCUAUAAAUCAGUCGGUGGUAAGACAUUUUGCAUUCCAAGAAAAAUAGGCUAGUUGCCUACAUAACUAUAUUCUUUGUUGACGUCGAUAACAUUGAGUUAUGGAUUAGGUCUUAAGGUUAUAGCUACCUUGUCCUUAAUAGCCAUCCUAGAAAAAUAAGAUAUUGUAGUAGGAUUCAAAUGUCCAAACAAGUGAACAUGUGUCUCAAUCAACAGUGAAUCAGUUGUAAUCAACUGUGUUACUUAAAAGUGAAAAGUGGCCUGCUUGUUCUGUGUGUAUGGGAGCAUGAUCAGCAUUCAGCAGUACAAUUCCACACCGAAGAGUGACCACAUAGCCUGCAUUUCUACUCUGAAAAUUGACCAGCUUUAAUUUUAAGAGGAAGGGAAUUCAGGGAGCACUAGGAUAAGACUAAAGAAAAUAUAGAACAAAAAAAUUUCUAUUUAGAAACUGAACUAAAAAAAAAUUUCUAUUUAGAAACUGAACUGUAGUUACGAAUAUUUUACAAAAGAUUUUUGUCCCAAGUGUAUCCAAUAUAGAUCAUUCUCAUAAUAUUACAACUGUGGGGGAAUUUUAUAGUACCUUGAAAAAUGCCCAGAUUUUCCAGAAAGAUUUUUUCCUUAUUUGCUGCCCUUCAAUUUAACUCAUAACCAAGAUACUACAACCUGAAAAGGAACAAUUCUGAUAAACGAGAAUGGUACAAGGGACUUGUCUAAAAGCUGGAGCUGUGAGUCUGGCACUGCUACGACUCUUCGGAUUCAACUUCCCUCAUACUGUUAACCACAAGUUGGACUUUCGUUGAAAGCUGGUCGCCAUGCUCCUCAACAUCUUUAAUAAAUGCAAGCAUCUGUUCUCGAUAUGUAGCACAUAAGCGCUUCUUACGCCGCAGCUCUGCAGUUAGCUCUUGAAUUUGUUUAUCCUUCUCAUCCUACAGAUACACACAAAAUUAGACAACGAGAGGAGGGGGGAAAGAACAGCGGUAUAUACUCAUAUUUGAUAUGAAAAACAUGGUAGCGACUACUGUUUUGGUUAAGAAAACAAAGACAUCAUGACCAAGAUUAACUCAAAUAUUGUUCCAUCAAAUUCAACCAAAAAUCGAUGGUUAAUUUUGUAACGUUCAUUUGAGGGAGUUAUGUUUUCUCUUUUCUCAUAAAAGGUUUUGGCAUCUCAUAGCCUAAAAUUUGUAUACUAUUUUAUGAUAGACUAAAGGUGUCCAAUCUUACCUUGAUGAGAAAUGUAUAGCCAUCUCUCUGGUAAAGAUUGUUGAAGCAGCAAUUACGUUCUAUAGUGACUAAACAUGUUUCUUAACAUAUAAAAGCCGUCACUCCUCUUAAUACAACCUGACAAGAUACAGAAGGUUAAAGUGGUGUUUCAUAUCGCUUCAGACCAAGACAAUUAAUCAGAAUCUUAGGCCACAUGUAACAAAGCAACAUGCCCUCAGGUCACAUGUCAGAGCAGAAUACUGCAGUUAUUGCUCCACAAUUAGGAGCUCCAUGUGACUUCACUUUACACCCGGCCAAAGACCAUGUGCAGAUCUGGACAUAGUGCCAUAGUGGAAGAACUCAAAGAGCUACAAGCCUACAACCAGUCUCGACUCUGUACUAUCAGGAGUAAGGUAGUGGAAUCCUAUGUUCUCAAAUGUACCAUUCAAGAAGUAUUUCAAAACGAAUAUGUCCAAAUCACGAGAAAGAAGAACCAGAUCUUACAAUAUCUAUAGCCAGGUGGAACCAUGGAAGUGGAAAUCACUCAUCACAUUCAUGGUUUCAAAGCAGUGACAACUAUGGCCUUUAACGCCAAAGGCUGCACAACAUUGCAAGAAGGAACUCUUUUCUUACUCAAGCCAUUAAGGAGCUACAACUACACAGUAUUGUGGUAAAAUUUUGCAAUAAAAAUAGUACUGUGCAAAGACCCUAUGCGUAGAGUUUAGGCAGACGAUUGCUUUAAGCGAAGGUUCGUUUACACUCUUUGAGGGUAAGGGUCUAAGGGAUAUUCCCAAUAUUACACAAUCAUAGCAGCCCAAUUUUUCAUACAUCCCAAUACGGGAUGAUGUUAUUUGGAUGGAUAUUAUCCAAAUAAGGGAUUAUGUUAUUUGGUAAUGUUUGACAAGAAAAAGUGGGUUGCAUAUUGAUGUCAGUUUGGGGAUGCAAAACAUGUACCACCAGCAGUUGGCGGGACAGCUCAGACUUUAAGCAUCAUAUGACAAGGAGAGUACAUGACUGUGCUUGCAAGGUUGAAAUGACGAGAUAAUUUGGUGAUUCUUUUCGAAAAGGUAUUUCCAUGCUACCUGAAUGGGUCUUAUUCAUGUUUUCCCCCUCUUGAGUGAAAGCAAUUUAUUCUUUUCUGUGUAUAUUUUGUAGUAUCGAAGAAAAGCCCAGAUCAGUGAGGGCAACAGAAGCCACUGGUUUGAUAAAUAGGAAUAAAAUUCCACUUUACGACCAACUAACCACAAUUUGGGCAAAAAGGUGAGAAAAAAGGAAAAAGAAAGCAAAAACUCACCAUUGUGUGACGAGAUUCGCGGGAAGAAACCACUAGUGGAUGAUUAUGGUCCCUUACAUAUUUCCGUACAAUCCAUUUACCAGACUUUUCUAUCUUUAUCAAAAUCAUCGCCUUGCAACCUUCUCUGUUGCUUGUUCGUGGCUUUCUGACUGUCCCAAAUUUGCCUCUUAUACUGACACAAUGGCCUUCCUUAUUGCAUCCAAGUCGACGAGAAAGAAUUCUUCCAUCAACCUCCGAACGGCGACAUGACAUGACACGCAUGACAAAUCCUAAUCGGCGAGCGUAUUCAUCAUAAAAUGCCUUGGCAUGAUCUUCAGAAUCAAAUUCCAAACCCUCAUAUGGCUCAAUAAGUGCAUCUCCUUCAGAGCCUCCAAAUUCUGCUACAAUAGAGCUUUCCAUUCCGGAUCCCUCAUCAACAAAAGUUUCUGAAUUCACUACAAUGCAGUUGAAAGAAGUAUAAAAACAUGUCCUAAACCCCCAAGUAAAAUUCUUCUAUAUAAAAAGCAUUAUAUUAUAUCCUUUAGAAAUAAGUUAAAAAACAGGUUUUCUUCAUUGAACUCAAUGAAUUUAAAUGGCACACAGAUAGGUUUUAAACAAAGUGCCCGCUUGUGAUGUUAGAGGUAAAAUUGAGAUGUUUCGAGAGGUUUGGCUUCUGGCAAGGAUGGUGAUACCGUGAUACCCUAAAACAAUUUAAAUCUAAAAAAAAAAAAAUUCCUGCCAGUUCCAAACUACAUAUACUCUACUGCACAAAUGAAUUAAAAAUGAAUUUCAUGAAUCAUGAGUAGUAUUCCAUCCCGGUAGUAACUAUUGUACUUAAAUCUUCUCAAAAAUCCAAUCUUUAUUAAAUUUUGGCCAUAAAUACUAAACUCCAGCCAAAACCAAGGACACACAGUACUAUGGGACCCCAAAGUACAAAUACCCAGCACUUGAGAGCCUCUUGGCGCCAUGAAAAUGGUUGAAAAUUGCAUUCCAUUGCACUAAAAAAAGAUUACUAAUAAAACCAGUUUAAAGAAGCAAUUUUUUCAACAAUUAGAGAUUUUAUUCAAAUGGGUAACAUCGUACAAACAUUCACAGUGAUUAAAGAAGAGUUAGAAUCAAACUAAGGGCUUCAAUCUAUUAUCAAACAAACUGAAAUGAAGAAGUCGCAGAGUUAAAUUGGAGAAAAAGUAAGGAUUUUUAAACUUACUUUGAUUGUUAUAAACAAAGUGAUAUAGACCAAAUUGAAGAUAAAAUCCACGUGUUGUUCGCUUUCUUCUUCUUCUUCUUCUUCAAUUGAGAAAAUAUCAGCAGCAACAGCAAUCCUUGCUAACAUCCUCAGCAGAACGUCAUCUCUAAAACUUGAAUGAGUUGUUUGUGUGCAACCUCACUAGAAAGAAGACAACACUUUUGUGUCUUGAGAUUCCAAACCAAGAAGACAAAAUAAGUAUUGCUAAAAGUGAGGCGGGCAUGUAUAAUGCAACGCUUUACUAAGCAUUUGAAAGUGUGAUUAAUGCAUGUUUAUUUAAACGGAGUGUGUGUUUCACUGUUUUGACAAUAGUUUGUUCAGAGCAAUUUGCAAUCUGUGCAUAAUCAAAAAGCACUCCCAUCCAUUUUCAUCAAUAUCAAUCAAGUUUGUCUGUUGGAGCGUCUGCAACUCUGCAUAACCUUGACAAUAACAAUGGUUUUAUAUACAUUAUCCAAACCAAAUGUAGAUAAAAUGCAAGGAUCAAUGGAUCGUUCAGUGUUUUUUGCGGAUUUUAGCUCUCUUGUAUUCAUGGCUUUGAUCCUUCUUGAACAGUCUUGAAGAAUGGCAUGCAUGAUUAGUAAUAUGUAUAGAAGUUUGGGUUUGGUUUCCUAUUUGACUUGGAUUUUGUCUAGACGACCCUUUGGUCCAAUAGCAAAAGUAAACAGAUACAACUCAAAAAACAGAGUUCCUAAACCAGGAAGAUAUGGCCUAUGACAAUAAUUUGGUUGCACUUUUGAUAACCUUCAGAAAUUGAAAGGAGAUGUAUAACCUGUAUAAGAGUUUCCCAAAAGAAACAAUAAAAAUUGUUUUGGGUCAUAAAAUCUCUAAGCCCUCGCUAAAAUUCCGUAAAAAUCUCAAAACUGAAGCCUUAGGAUCUUCCCCAACAUCCUUGGCUUUACUUUCAAGAGCACCUUUCACGACAAGAGUAUAAAGCCUUUCGAGUUGUGGUACAUCAUACCCUUCUGUGCGCUCCACCAUGAGUCUCUUGAUAGAUUCCACCUGGCUUGAAGUCUCUCCAUCAAGCAUUACGACGUCUUCCUCAGAUCUGUUUGCCCUGGCAUCAAAUGUUUCAUUUCCAUCAGUUCCCAAUUGCUGGUCAUUAGCAGGAGACUUCACUCGAUCUUCUAGAACCACACCAUUGGUCUCUUGAGAUGGUUCUUGCUGAGUGGUUGCUGGCUGUGACAUGUCUUCUACAAUUGUACCAGAAUUGCCACCUGGAUGAUCAUAAUUUAGCAAAAUGCACAUUUCCUUUCAAUCAAAGUAACAGGGACUAGAAACCUUAUAAGCCUAUCAAUCCUAUCUUGAAUUCAAUUGUUAUAACGGUCAUAAUGAUAACGUUUUCAGAAAAUCCUCGAAAAAACAAGACUUUUGUAUUCAAUCAUUACUAUAUCAACCUUUGGAUAUGGUCUACGAUACUGAUCUUUAUUAACAAAUAGUGGAAUGUAGUAAACCAGGCAAUACCUGAUUGCUCCGCAUCAACACUUUUUUUCCUCUUCAAAGCUUCAUAACUUUGACUAAGAUUGACUUCUGGUUGAACAUUACGAAGCCGAGCACUCGCUCUAGUAAUGGUUGCCAAUUGAACAACAGGAGUCGUAGGCAAAACAGAGCCUUCAAAUUCCUCUGGGAGAUGCACUGGCCCACCUUGGUCUGCAAUCCUGUCACAGAAUGUGAGCAAUGCAGGGUCCAUCUGUGACAGCAUACCUUGCACCUGAAAAAACAAAUCAGUUUUUGGUACAACCAAAAAAUGUUGAGACCAGGUGGUCUGGGAGAGUAUUUAAAGAUUAGGGCAUAUAUAACGUACUGCAUCUCGCAGCUCAUAGGCUCUGCUAACAAUCCUAGCUCCAGUGUAGUCAUCGCCAUUAUAAGCCUGAUUAUAAGCACGACAAACCCAUCAAAGCUUUAUCUUUGUGUUUACGUUUAGUAAGUAAAAUUAUAAUGAUUUUGCAAGACAAAUUAUAAUACAUGAUGUCCCCAUUAUGCAGGUAGUUUUCACAACAACAACUAAAAAUGCUAACUUCACAGUUUUGGUAAGAAAAAGUUCAUGUGAAUUUUUACACGCGUGAGAUGUAAAGAUGUUAUCACAUAUCACACAGAAAUAAGAAAGCAAAGCCAAGACAAAACAAAUGUGACGAACAGUACUACAUUCUCACACCUUUGCAUUUGCCAGAAUAAGAUCAAAAUCUUGCACGAAUGUUGAACAAGUGAUAUACUGUCCACAGUCUACACGCUGUAGUAAAGUAGCAAUGUCCAUAGGAUUUUGGACAAUUGAGUGAUAAUUUGGUGCAUCUUCAUCUGUGACUGGAUAAUGGAAAGCACUGAACCGUUUAUCGUACAGAACCCUGUUCACAGAAAAGAGAGAAAAAUAAAUACACUUGCAAUAUAUGAAAAAGCAGAAGGUCUGGCACAACUUUUUCUAUUUUAAUAGUAAUCGAAAAGAUAAAACAGCACAGUUGUUUCCUGUAUUAUCAAGUGCCGGAUUCUUACCCCACAAGGUACCAGACAGCUUUGCCUGUAUCUUUAUUAUACAUGAUGGUAUCUUUGUGAUGCAUUACUCACCUCGUGGUUACAUUAAUAGUCCCAUUAUUGACUUCACAAUCAUCCAAAUAAUAUGUAUAUUAUCGUUGAUCUAGAUGGACUAAGAAUAAUAACCCCUACCUGGUUAAUAAACAUGAUAUCCAAACCCUAGAAGGCUAGAAUCUUAUUAUAUAGAAAUCAUGAAUUUAUCUAUUCUUUUUUUCAUAUAUAUUAUUAAUCCAUGAUGAGCUUGUAGGCAUAUUUACAAAAUCAAAAAUAAUAACUCAACACCAAAAAUUUAAUGUACGGUCUUUCAGUAAUUUUUAAUGGAGUGGUCCCGUAAUGGUCAUAUUUCCUAUGCACACAAACAAAGAUUUACUUACCGAUUGCAUACAUCACGAAGACACAUUCGCAGACGGCGAAGUGCAUGCUGUUCAGCUUCUGCUUUGGCUCGCACCUCUGAGAGCUUAGGACCACUGCUGGCCUUAGGCACCUUGGGGAGUUCAGGAAGGGACCUUGACUGGGAAUUGCUUGUGGUCUCUUUUGAUGAAAUGGAGCAAACAGCUUCAAGCAACUUCUCAAAGAACAUAGACCUAUCCUCUUUUGUUGGUUUCUCCACUUCAUACCUGAUGAAACAAGGCGAUUUUCCAAUUACUUCAACGCCAAAAUCAUAAAUAAUAACUACUAUAUUUUUCUAAUAAUUAUAUUUACUCGUCAAAUCCAUAAGAUCUUCAUUUACAAUAUCUCCAAGAGUUAUUGAAGCUCAAAUUUUCCUCUGAACCUAAUUCAUGAAUAUUUUUACAAAAGUUCUUUAGGAAAACGUUUUCUCUCAGAAAGCCAAAACUAUUCCUUUACAAACUGGUUGAAUUUUCCUCCCCUCUUUUUUACUUCUUCCUCACCUCAGCUUCUUGUCUCCCUUAGUACUUAUUCAUCUCGAAAAACUCAGAAAACUAAUAAAACAAAGUGUAUCUAUCCUUAGAUUUUGCGGUAUUUAGCAAAGUGCUUGAUGGGUUUGGGAAUUUUGGAUUUUUGAUGUAUGUUAAUUCUAUUGGAAGGUUAGUUUGAUGUUUUUAGUAUGUUUGUAGUAUUGGACCAAUCACUUAUAAUCGAUCAAGAUUUCUUUAUUCCUUCUGAUCUUCAAUUUUAUAUGGAGAGAGAGCAUUCUUCAAGGUUUUAGGUACUCAGUGCCUAAACUUGAUCUCUUAAACAUAAUCUUACAACUUUUGUUUUGGCUCUAAGAAAUCAACAUCCUGGGAUGAAUAAUUAUUAAUCACUAUAACAUCUAGAUCAUAUGCAACUAUUGAGUAUGUGUUUUGAUUUGUCAGAUUAUGAAGGGGGUGUCAUGUUGCUCCUAGACUUUAAAAGCAGUACACAGCAAUGUAUGGUAUGGGUAGAGAGGGGGAAAAGAGAGAUGGAAAAGAAAAGACUGGUUACUAUGGGGUAUAAAUGGUACUUAUAAUUUCCUUUGACCUCUUUCAGGUUUAUAGGAAGUCCGCAGAAUUCCAAGGGAGAAAUCGUAAAUAAAAUCCAACUUUCAUUCCUUUGAGUAAAGGACUGUAAUAAUAAUGAUAGCAAAAUAUCAACAUUAGAAUUUAAAUUGGCAAUAUAUGCAAGGAACUAAAGUUCAAUGAGCAUACACAUUACGGUGAUUGAAUAUGGAAGAAAUUCCUUCAUAUAGUUGUGCAAUAGAAACUGAGGAAGUUCCAAGUAAAAAUAUAGGAGAGUCAGACGGCAAUUCUUCCAAAAGGGUCAGCAGAACUGCCUUAAGCUGCUCAUGUGCCUGGACAAUUGAUAAUGUUAAGAAAAAAUAUUCGAAGAUCGAGAAAUCAGUAUAGAAAACUCAAACUAACAAUAAGAAAAAUAAAAAGGGUUUGAGUGGUGAAAAUUUAACAUGCACUCACCGUUUCCCACCAAAGCUGGAAUUGAGGUAAAUAGAGAAUUGAAGGCAUAGUUCUUCUAGCUUCGCCAAAUAUAUGUACCAAUGCUUCCUCCGGUGUCUUUGCACUGGGAUCAGAAAAAAGAGAUGCAAGGCCAAGAGAGUGAACAGGAAACUUCUCCAUUUCAUGUAAAACUGCUGGCCCAACAUGGUCCUGAUGAACUAAAGCAGUAAGUGACUUUUGUAUUGUGGUUCCACAUGGAACAGAAGUUAUGAAUUAUAAAAUUAAAAGAAAAGAACUCCCAAAUUAUUACCAGGCCAACACUUUCGUCUCCACAAAUCAGCAAUCGAGGCCUAUAUACAAGAGAAACGGUAGAACCAUAGGAUGACAUAGAAACCUUCUUUACAUCUGCAGAAGCUGCAAGGGGAGGAAAAGUUUCAGAUAUGUGAUUCAUGACUUUCUGAAGGUGCCUCUGCAAAAACGGCGCAACGACUGAAGAUAAUGGCCUUGAGUGCACAACUGAUCCUCUAUGAGCAGCAGGAGUAAUUGUUGACAUGGCUUCUAGGAAAUGAUAUUUUUCAGCCCUUAUUGAAUCUACAUCUAUUAAAAAUUUAUCAUCACUAGUGUAAACUUGAGGGUAUUUCUCACGAAAAGCACGAAUGGCAGCUUCUGUGCACAGGGCUUUCAGGUCGGCACCACAGUAUCCAACACAACUAGCAGCAAGUUCCAUCUUUAACUCCUUUGAAGGGGGGCUCUUCCACUUUCGUGUGUGAAUGUCUAAAAUUUCAGCACGUGCUUCGAGACUAGGUAAAGGGAAAGUGAAUUCUCGAUCAAACCGACCAGGUCGACGCAAGGCUCCAUCAAUGGCAUCAAUCCUGUUAGUGGCUCCAAUCAGAACAACUUGCCCACGAGAGUCGAGACCAUCCAUCAGAGCCAAUAAAGUUGAAACGAUGGAAUUAUGGAUUUGUUCUUGCUUGCUUGAUCUAACAGGAGCAAGGCCAUCUAUUUCAUCAAAGAAGAUUAUAGAUGGCUGAUUCCUUUGAGCUUCUUCAAAAAGUAGCUUAAGCUGUCUUUCAGCCUCACCAACCCACUUGCUAAGCACGUCAGCUCCUUUCCGCAUGUAAAAACUGACCUUCUGACCAGCCUUUGAUGCAGCACAUGCUAAUGCCCGUGCAAUAAGUGUCUUCCCAGUGCCAGGGGGGCCACACAGCAAAACACCUCUCGGAGGAGUGAUGUGGUACUGUUCGAAGAACUCUGGAUACAGCAAGGGGAAAAAUACCAUUUCUUUCAAAGCAUCAAUGUAUUCUGAGAGACCACCAAUAUCAUCAAAAGUUACACUUUCAUCUACCUGUAAAGGUUGAAUAUCUGCCCCACCCUUAGAGCUUGGUCCAGCAGUUUGUACUCCAGUAGUCAGAGAGGCAAAAGCAUCACUCUGAUGUCCCCAACCAGAAGCAGCAACAUUUAGUCCAUAUGCUGUUGUACCAUGCAUGUCUAAUCCUCCUAAAAGCCAAGGGGCAGCUCUAGUUCCACCUCGUGCCCAAGGAACAGCGGGUCCUUGAUCGAGCUCAUCCACAAGAAGAGAAUCGUCAGAAUCUUCAGUUCUUGCUAAGCGGUGCCGUUUAUGUCGAGAACCACCCUUCCUAACAUCCCUACCACUCUUGGUUCCCAUUCUUUGAUGAAGUACUCUGCGAGGGGAUCGUUGUCUCUGUUUCUCAUCCUUCUCUGGUGAUAACCUACGGACCUCUGCACGAUUCCGAAGAUCAUAUCUCCUCCUUCCAUCCUGUUCUUCUUCACCAUCUUCAUCGUCCCCAUCUUCCUCUUCUUCAUCCUCACCCUCAUCCUCGGCCUCACCCUCAUCUUCCUCACCAUCAUUCCCAUUUUCAGUGUCAUCUUGGCCAACUUGCUCUUCAGAGGUAGCCUGGUCGUCAAUAGAUUCCUGAUAAGAUUGUUCUCUUGCCACUGUGUUUGAACGUCGAGGCCGCAAUCCUUCACGACGAGGCAAUGAUUUUGUCUGGGGGACUUUUUUACGCCUUGGAGAUGGUGGCAUGUCGCCAAAAUUGGCCUGGCAAAAAAACAGCAUGUUUACAAUCCCGGUGAUAACUAUCAUGCUUUAAGCUCUAAUAAAAGAAGCAAAUGAUUGAGCUCCACAGAACCAUUCCAUACUAGGGAGCGUAAAGUCUAACCAUUAAGUCAUGGUCAUCAUCAUUCUCGGUUCCAGAGCUGUCAGUGUUAUAUCCUGCAAGAUUUCUUGAAACCUUCCUCUUUCUGGUAGAACGACGGAGGCCUGCACCAACUGACUGCACCAAAUGAAUGAAUGAAACUAAUAAGUUCAGUUCAACUAAAUGGAAUUUGAGAAUUUUUCAAUUAACUUUGGCUGAAAAUGUGCAGAUAGACAUAUAUGAAGGGCUAUCUAUAAAUAAAUUCACGCCUUCUAAUUGUCGCUAUAUAUUAUUUUUGCUUAGAAUAAAUUAGUAAUAUAAAACUAUGCUAGACAUCAAAAUAUAUCUAGUGCCAAACUGUAACAUACAAUUCUUACAUUCUCAAUGUAAGAGAUCUAACAAGUUAAAUAAGGCCUUUCUCUUGGUGCAGAAUAUAGUUCCAAGGUCAUAAGGUCACAUCUAAAGGUUCCACACGAAAGCAGCAGGUUGGAAGGGUCCCUAUCCAUAUGAAGAAGAGCCAUCCUGAUCAAGCAAUCACUUAAUGAUCUUCAUAUAUGUACAGUAUAUAUGAACAUCACCUCCCUCCCCAUAUACACAGAAUCUUAUAGCCUUUUAAAUUUUUUAACGAAAACAUGUGUACAUAUAGGGUUUCAUAGUCUUCUUUGUCAUUCUUGAAGAAAUAUGGUAAAAUGUAAACUAAUUUUAUCGUUGUUGGAGUAUUUGGAAGCUGAUGAGUUUGAAAUGGACUUCAAUGGUGAACAGACUGUCGAAUGCAUGUGAGGAACGGAUUUACUGUUUCGAAAUACAUGCGCCGACUGACAGUAAAAUCUCGGUUUAAUAAAAAAUCUUUCUUUUCAAAAUAAUUUGUUCUUCCGGCUGCCAUUUGUUCUAAAUAUACUUUACUGUUUUCUACCUAACCUUUUUGGUCAUAAUCACCAUUUAUUUAUGUUUUCUAACUAUUAUUUGUUGUUUUCCAUCACUGUAGUUCUAUGCUUUACAUUGUGAUUUAAAAUGUCGAAGAUGUGUGUACACAUAUUUAAUUCCACCAAUAAAAAUUACUACUACCAAUGCACUAAACAAAAUUAAACUCAAAAUUUCAAAAACAAUGAAAUAAACCAAACACAUACAUUAGAAUUAGGGGUUCUGACAGAAGGCCGAUUACCACCGGGACGCAACAUCAUUUUAGCAAUUUGAGAAGCUGCAGUUCUCCUUUUAGUCUGAUUCUUCUUGUUAUUUCGAAUAAGAUUGCGAGUAGUAGUAGGAGAAUAAUACAUAUAAGUUCGACCAGGUCUUCUUCUAAGUCUAUCACUUGCACGUACUGCUCCUCCACUUCCACCUGCACCACCUGACCCCUCUACUCCUCCACUAGAAAGUUUUGAUGAUUCCAUUUAAUUUGUUAUGUAGUAAAUUGAUAAACCCUAAACCCUAACGGAUCAAGUGAUUUGGAAAUAAAUCAUAAAUCUCCAUGAGAAACACAUUGCAGAGAGAUUGAGUUGUGUUCUUAUGUACAGAAGAAGAGAGAGAAGGAAAUGUGUUUUAUGCUUUCUUUCUUGUUGUUUAUUGUUGUUUUCUGUGUUUCUCUGUGUUAAGAGAGAAGAGAGAGUGGAGGCGUGAGUGUGUCGGCUUUAACGAGGAAGUUGGGUGUUUUAUGGAUCAAAUACUUAUUAGAGAUCCGGCCCGAUUAACUUGUUAUUAAGGCCCGUUGGAUCCAUAUUUUGGGCCUUUAUAAAGACCCGAACUCGGCAACGAACCGAUUCAACAUCUGGCGGGCAAAAAAGAAGUACAAAACCCUUCACCCGUCGGUCAACUUGACCGCCACGACACAACUCUCCGAGUCUCCGGUCUGCUCUUGCUCUUCUUCUUCUUCGUCGCGUGAGGCCAACGCUGCUGUUUCCAUAAAUCAACUGUCAUCUUCCUUCUCUACAGGUAAAUCUCGCUCAUCUCUCCAAACCUAGGGUUUAGUACUAGUAGGGUGAACAUAGUAACACAUCGUCCAUCUCAGUAUCUAGGGUUUAGACAUCAUUGAUUUGGAAAUUAUUCUUCUUUCAUCUAUGAAUUGUAUUUUUUUUUGAGUUUUAAGUUUGAUUUAUAAUUAUUUUGUAGAAUUUAUAGAGUCGUUAUGCCUUGUGUUUAUUUAUCCUGUAUUUGAAGUGUUGAACUUGAACAUUAACCUUGAUGUUUAGUUGGAGAUAUUCCUUUGGAAUCAGACAACUGAAAGAUGUGUUAUUAGGAAUACUAGUUAUAGUGUUAAGCGAAUAGUAGAAUUUUAGUCUCAUUAUCCGAAUUGUGAAAAAGCAAGAAACACAAUAUCGGCCUGUUUGUAUCAAUUUCCAUUCGAUACCAGUUUUGAUUGUAUAUUUUGUGUGUUAGUUCAGUGUUAAUUAAUACACAUAAAUUUAAUCUGUUACUUUUUUGAGAAACAAUAUGGAAAACCUUGACAUAAUUCAUCACACGGUUCUGCUACAUCAACACAUAAAAACAUAAACCACUAGACCUGUAGUUGUCGUACUCGUGGUCUGUGCCUGUAUAGUUAGUGUCCAUGAUAAUGUCAAUAGAUACAAUUUUGAGUACUAGUUCUCACCCGGUUGCUGUCCUAUUGUCAUGUAUUAAUGUAUUAUUAUUAAAUAUUGUUGUCAAUUUAUUUUUGCAAAUAUGUCUAUCGAAAAACUGUUGGCAUCUAUUUGGUUGCUGUUUCUGCAAAUAGUAUUUUCUGCUUUUCUUUUCUUUUCAUCAAUAGCUUUUGACAAUCUACAUUUGGUUCCCACUAUGUUGCUGUAUACUGGUUAAUUUAUACUUUAUGUUUUUUGGAUUGGAUUGGACUGGAACUGCAGUUCACUAGCACCACUCUCCGUGUUUUAAUUAAGUGAAGCUAAAGCCCCCUUAUACCUUUCUACUUCUCCCUUCCUUAUUUCUCUAGAACUUUGUCGUCGGAAGCACCAAGCAAUGGUGGAAAGCAGGACCAAAUACGAUCGCCAGCUUAGGUACUCGAACUACCCCUUUCUUCUUGNNNNNNNNNNNNNNNNNNNNNNNNNNNNNNNNNNNNNNNNNNNNNNNNNNNNNNNNNNNNNNNNNNNNNNNNNNNNNNNNNNNNNNNNNNNNNNNNNNNNUCGUAUUAUAUGGGGUUGCAGUGUAUAUGCUUAAUUCAUACGUUCGUCUAUCUUAGUAAAACAUUUCACUGCAACCGCAGGAUCUGGGGAGAGCAAGGACAGGCAGCUCUUGAGCAAGCUAGCAUCUGCUUGCUUGGUUGUGGUCCAACUGGUUCUGAAACAUUAAAAAAUCUUGUUCUUGGAGGUGUUGGAAGUAUCACAGUAGUUGAUGGAUCUAAAGUUGAAGAAGGCGACCUUGGGAACAAUUUUAUGUGUAUGAAUUCUACCCCUAUUUCAUGUUAACCUACAUUACUUUCUUCCUUAUUCACCAAGUUAGUAGUGUUAUUGCAGUGGAUGGAGCAAGUGUUGGAAAGUCAAAGGCAAAAAGUGUGUGUUUCUUUUUGCAAGAGUUAAAUGAUGCUGUCAAGGCCAAGUUUGUGGAGGAGUCACCCGAGGCAUUGAUUGAGACAAAUCCAUCAUUUUUUUCUCAGUUUACUUUGGUUAUAGCGACUCAGGUACAGAAUUUUACCUCUUAAGUCUUAAAUAAUGUUUAGAUAUAUCUAUGAAAUUUUAGGGCAUGAGUUGAAGUUCAUUAAAAAGUAAUUGAGCUAAGAAAGAUUGACUCUACCGUUAUUCUGUCUGCAAGCAUGUAUUUAUUGAUUAGUGAACAUGAUCUUUAAGCAUGUAUCUCCACCGUAUGCAUUCAAAUCGACUGCAUAAUCUAGUUGACUCUACCUACAUCCCCAUAAUCAGCCCACUUUCCAUGGCCAUAGAAAGUUGCCUUAACUCAGUGUCUCAGUCUACAUGAAAGUGACUUGUCCUUCCAAAUUAUGAAGAGAGCGGACCAUCUGCACUCUAGAGUUGAGGGGAGUGGCAAAAGGAGAUGAGCUUAUCCUGGCAGUCGUAUGAUUCUCCUAUACAGUCAACGCUCUAAGAUGUGACAUCCAUUUAAAUUAUGAAUUAUGGACCAGAGUAUUGUUCUUGAAACCAAUAUGACUCUGCUUAGACCUCCGUAUAUAUUAAAACAGAUAAGUAGACCCAAGAUUGCAUCUAAGCCAUCUCUAUUUUAAACUCAUACUUUGUCUUAAAGUGGAUAUGUGAGUUGCUCUUUUAUAGUAGGAGCUUUUUAAUUAUGUCUAUCUUUGUUUGCUGUAUUUUCUUCGUAUAAUUUUCUAAUGGAGUUCUUGUGGUGUUAUAACAGCUGGUCGAAGCAUCUGUGUUGAAGCUGGAUAUAAUAUGUAGACAGGCAAAUAUUAUGUUAAUAUGUGCACGCUCUUAUGGCCUAACAGGGCUUGUGCGGAUCAGUUUAAAGGUAUUAAGGAUGCAAGUACUGGUAAUCUUACAAGGGUUACCUAUAGGCUGAUACAUUAAUGCUAAUCACUAGUCUUAAUACUUGUGUAUAUAUGGUGUAGGAACUAGUGUCAAUACUAGUAAGAAUACUGGUGUUAGUUGUGAAUAGUGAUACUGUGGGAAUUAUUAGAAAGCAGAUCCACGUCAUAAAAUGUUGCAAGUUGAAAUUCCAAAGUUCAAACUGUUGACCCUAAAGUCUUAAACUGAAUAAACUUGUGAAGAUAUCCAUUAUUUUUAAUUGUUGUUUUGCUAUUUUCCCUUUUGUUUUUGUCUAAAGGUGUAGUGCAUUGAAUUCAUGUCUUAUGCCAUUUUAAGCCACUCUUAUUAUUAAUUUGUAUGUAUUUAAAUCCUCACCCCCGAUUUUAUAGUUCUGAAUUAUGAUGAUUACAUACUUGAAACAGCUUUUGAGUUUAAUUUCCUUGUUAAAAAAAAGAAGUUUAAUUUCAUGAAUGCGUAUGCUGGGAUUAUAUUUCAUGGUUUAUCUGGCAGGAGCAUGCUGUGAUUGAGUCAAAACCUGAUCAUUUCUUGGAUGAUCUCCGAUUAAACAAUCCCUGGCCAGAGCUCAAGAGGUAUAUGCUGAUUUUGUUCCACUUUGCAUAGGCAUAUUGUUGGUACUACUCUUUUGUCUAAUGGUGUGAUAGUGUCUCGCACAAUUUUCCAUUUUCUUAACGUUUAAACUUGAUGUAAUUUAUGCAACUAUAGGUUUGCAGAAUCCAUUGACUUGAAUUCUACUGAUCCUGUUGUCCAUAAACAUACUCCAUAUGUCGUCAUUCUUGUAAAGUUGGCAGAAGAGUGGGCCAAUUCACAUGGAGGUUGCCUGCCGUCAACCAGAGAAGAAAAAAGGCAUUUUAAGGUUUAUUUAGUUUCUUGAUCGAUUUGUUUGUUUAUUGAAUAUGUAGAUUUUGUCCAAAUCCAAUUCCGUUAUUAUUUUGAACAUGGCAGGAUCUUCUGAAAGGUAGGAUGAUUGCUAUAGACGAAGACAACUAUAAAGAAGCAAUUGAGGCCUCAUUCAAAAUAUCUGCUUCCCAAGGCAUUAGUAAGUAUAUGAAUAUAUGAUUUACCAAGAAAUAUGUCUGAUCAUUUUUUGUGGGCAAUUGUGGCACUUUCUCUUGGUCUCCACUAUCUUUGUUAGUUAUCAUGAAUUCGUGGGAAAAGCAAAAUAUCGAAAUCCAACCCAAAAGGAAGAAUAGGUGACCUAUAGAACAUUUGAAAGAUAAAACAAAAUAGGAUCUUUAACAAGUCCACGGGUCCGUGUUGCUGUCACAGGUCACUUGUGUCUUUCUUAUGAUGAGAAAAUGCAACGAGAUGCACAUGUGUGAAGUUGCUCUGGAAGGCUACUUUUGAGGUGGUAUAGAUUUGAUUUGUCGCAUCUGGCGCAUCUGGUAUGCACCUCAGUAUGUCUUUGGAUUACUAAAUAUGUCUGUGGUACUCCAAAACGUUGAACUACCCGAGUUGUCUAUGUCAUUUCAUUCUUUCAAGUAGUGAAAUAUGCAAUAAAGGUCAUAUAUAUAAAGAUCAGGUGUUGCAUUCUUUCAGUAUCUUGAAUUUUGACAGCAAACAUCUUCUGAAGAUCUAUGGUAGAUAGCAUAGGUAGUUGCUAGAUCUUCAUUCAGUCAUUGUAGGUGGUCAAGCAUGUAUCUGCAGAUUUGAUACCAUUAUUUUAAAUCUAAUUAUUAUAAUAUUAAGAAAUACCUAAGAGAAAGCAAUUUCUUUGAGUGAGGCACAAUUUUCCUAUCAGCACUAAUUUCUCCCAGUCAUUACCUGUUGACAAUGUUUGAACAAAUAUCAUAAAUGACAAAUAUGGUUUCAUUUCCAGAUCCAGCUCUUCGUCAAAUCAUCAAUGAUAGUUCUGCUGAGGUUGAUUCGACAUCCUCAGACUUUUGGGUUAUGGUGGCAGCUUUAAAGGUUUGUGAUUAGGCUUCACCUUCAUUUAAUGUAGUUGAACUGAAUCUUAUAUAUGCAGUAUGGUAUCUAUGUUAGUUAUUGAUAUUGUUGAGUAAAGGUUUUAAGAUUGUAGAGUUAGCUGCUACUAUGCCUUUUGGAUAUACUACUUUCAGUCCCUUAUUUUGAUCAGGAAGUAUAUAACCGAGUGCUUAGAAUAAACUUCAGAUCACGACGCCAAGCUUUUGAAUGUUGUACUUUUAGCCAUAUUAUAUGAGUACAAAUUACUGGAUAACACUGCAUUUGAUCAAAACGUGUCAGCUUUCGAUAAUAUAUUAAUACAAUAUAUAUUCGUCUGUAGAUUUAAUGUGGAAUCAUGUUAACUUACAAUCAGCCAUAUCCUUGCUUUCAUGUAAUUUGAUUGCUUCUCUUCCUUGAGUUACAGGAAUUUAUUGCAAACGAAGGUGGUGGAGAGGCACCUCUUGAAGGAUCACUACCAGAUAUGACGUCAUUAACAGAGUAAGUAACUGCGUUUGUAAACAGGGACACUAACUCUUUCAAGUGAUGUUUUCUUUUUGUAUGAUAGUAAUAGACUAUUUUGUCUAUUCCCUUGCAGAUAUUAUGUAAAUUUGCAAAAGAUAUAUCAAGCUAAAGCUGAGGCAGAUGUUAUUGCAGUUGAGCAAAGGGUUAGAAAUAUUCUGAAAAGGAUUGGUAGAGAACCAGGUGCCAUCUCAAAGUCAAACAUCAAAAGCUUCUGCAGAAAUGCAAGAAAGCUCACUGUAAGUUUCUCAUUCCUUACUUCUUCAGGAGUUACACCAUAUGAAUUGUGAAACUAUCUAUUUCUCCUUUUACGGAAAUGAAGAUUCUGGCUCUGCGUGUUCGCUUCGGAAUUCACCGGUAAAGGGGGACACACCAGAUUUUGCAAAAGUUAUUCUGUUUACAGGCGCUUGGUCACACCCCUGAAUAAGUGGGGAUUACUGAAAACUUAAAAUAAUGAUAAACCACAUCAGCACAAAUUACGGGUUAGAGAAGAUCGGAUAAACUUGGAAACCGUCUCUCUUACUUUCUCUUUUACUUCCUCUCUCUCUUCUUCCUAGCAACUUCUCCCACUUCUCUGUCCUCUCGUCAUGGAAUCCCGCUUUCCCGAAGGAUCAAUCAAGCACAUAUAUGCUAUCUCUUCGGGAGAGAAAAAAACAAGUUAAAGAAAAAUGGAUAAACCUGUCUAAAGAUGUUUUUCCCAACGUUUGCUGUGAAACAAGCACAGCCUCUGUUAUUAUUGUUUUUGAUACCUCUUUAUGAAUCGUAACAGAUUUUUGAAUGUUAGAAAAGAAAAAGGCAAGCAUGUGUUAGGUAUUUUGAUGGAUAAAGGUUAAAAGAGUGGGUGCAGGGGGGCUUGUUUUUUUUCUUCAUUUAUUUUGCAUCAGAAGUAGAAUUAGGAAACAUGUAGAGAAGAAAUAAAAUUUAAUUACUAAACUUGCCAAAGACUAAAAUUUGGGAGUAUCUACCAAAAACUGUCUUUCAUUUAGUCUUGAUGUACUUAUGAUAUGUGUGGUACCUUCGCAGGUAUGCAGAUACCGACCAAUUGAUGAUGAGCUCAAUUCUCCUAUGCCAGCAGAGCUGCAGAAGUAUUUAAUUGAUGAAGAUUACAGGUGCCUUCUAGUGCAAAUCAUUUGGCUUCAUAUCUUAAUAACUUUGAUGUACAACUCUACAUGAAAAUUCCUUUAAAUGUUCUGUUCAUAUGCGAUACAAGGUGUGUGUGUCUGUUUUGACUCAGAACUCACACGUAUUGGAUUGGAUUGGAUUUGACUCAGAACCUUUAAAUGUUCUGUUCAUAUGCGAUACAGACGUGCUAUUCCACAUCCACAACCACACACACGUAUUAUGCAUGGCUGGUAGUUAAGCUGCUCACGCUUGGUAUCUAGGAGCAACUUAUAUUCUUGUUCCUGUACCCGACUGAUUUUAUGCUUGGUAGAACUCAAUGAUUAUAAGUUAACGUCUCAAGUAAACUAGGCUUGCUUAGACGUCAAGCCUAUUUAACAGUUGGUUUAAAUCUUUACCUUUAAGUGUGUUUCUGUAGUAGUAAUUCAUAAUAAACCAGUUUUUAAGUUUUGGGGCAUUAAAAGACUUACAGUUGAUUCUUAAUACCAGCUUUUUUUGAAGAAUAUCAAAUAUACUAUAUGUUUAGGUUUUUGUUGUUUUCUAGCUUUGAAAGUAGUAUUUUUCUUUUAUUUUGGUGGUGUCUAGAUUUUAAUUCAAGUUCAUACUUCAUACUAUUAUCUUUAGUAAACAGCCGAUCAUUAUCUAACAAUACAAUAUUAGCAAUCUCGAAGUUUGAACAAUUCUUGUACCUUUUGUUUAUCAUUCAUCAGUUGUCUAAAGCUUAUUGUUUAACUUCUCACUGGACAGCAUAGCUGUUGGGUUCUAUAUUCUGCUCCGAGCUGUCGACCGGUUUGCUGCCAACUAUAACAGAUUCCCUGGUGUAUUUGAUGGGUAUGCUUGAUUCUCUCACCAACUGCGCCAUGUAUUUUCAUUUCUUGAGAAAAUUAUGAAUUCUAUGGGUUCAACCUACAGGGUGAUGGAUGAGGAUAUAUCUCGCCUCAAGACUAUAGCUGUUGGUAUGCUAGGCGAUUUGGGUUGCAGUGGGUCGACCUUAACUGAGGACCUAAUUAAUGAGAUGUGCCGAUUUGGUGGUGCAGAACUUCACGCUGUGGCUGCUUUCAUUGGAGGGAUUGCAUCACAGGAAGUGAUCAAGGUUUUUUUUUUUCUUGAUUUCUGUACUGAUUAUAUGCAUCAUUAAGGGUGAUUAGAAAAGAAUCACUAAUUCUACCUCUUUUUUCCAUCUGUAGCUCAUCACGAAACAGUUUGUUCCGAUGUCUGGGACUUUCAUCUUUAAUGGCAUUGACCACAAGUCUCACUUGUUGGCAUUAUAACAGUGGUAUGACCCCUCAUCUUCAUAAGCAUAUAUUUUUUUCCAAUGCAAAUACAGUAGAGUUUUUUUAUCGUAUUGUUGAAAUUGCAGUCUUUUGAGAGAAUAUUUGGUGCAGGACUGGGUCGACAUCCAUACAGACCGCAGUGAGAAAAGUUCGUGAGAAGCAGCUUCGGGAUUUUGCUAUAGAGGAAGCUGGCUGACAUAUUGAUAUGACCAUAAUUUUGAACCUAGUUUGUCUAAUUUUGUGAACAUCAGCAAGGUUGUAUUCAAUCCAGUGAGGAUUUAAAGGUUCCAAGAGGGUUGGGCUCACAUUGUUACCGACUGACUUACCGGCCAAGGCUGUAAAAGACAGAACCCAGAGCCAGGCCAUUUUUGGGUUGACUAGCUUAUUAGUAGAAAACACAAAUGUAAAAGACAUUUCCAAUUGAAAGAAUGUGAUUAUAUAUACCUUAUUAGUCAUAUUGAAUUUCUGAUAGCACAUGAAUGAGUCUUAUUUACUUUUAUUUACGUAGAAACUAGAAUGGAUUUCAAUUUGUUUGGAAGCUAAAAUUACAGUCCGUACCUUUAAAAGCAAGCAAAAAUGACCUCAUGCUUUAAAAGGUGGGUGUAUAUAGUAUUUUGUGGUGAAAAUAAAAGAUUACCGGUUUUGUAACUUGUAAGUGAAUCGGACUGACAUGGGAGAUUCUGUGCUAAACCUCUUUCUUCCACGUCCCUUUCUCCAAAAAAAAACAACAGUAUGUGAAACUCUUUUCUUAUCUGGCUUAAAUUGAAACAAUAAACCGAUUCAAAAGCUUUACUCACUGAUUUGAAUCGGCCGAGUUUAAAACCAUGUUUACACUGCAAGUUCUGCAACAUUUGCUGCUGCAAGAGUCACGACUUGUUAUCGCACUCGCAAUUGUCUCUCUAUCUCUUCUUCUUCUUCUCCUCUUCCGAAAAGUGUGGGGAUUAGUAGUGAUGGACAAUCUUUCGAAUGCAUUCGCAAUUCUAGAAUUAGACGUUGAAGACGAUAAACAACACAUCACUCAAACUAAUACUAAUUUUUCUACUUCAGGUACAAUACAAACAACUAUAAUUCUCUUUCUUUUUAAGUGAAAAAUGUCUGGGAUUUUUGGGUUAUGGUUUUAGGGUUUAAGAGUUUCUAUGUACUCUAUGUUGCUGUUCUACUUGAUAAAUUUUCAAUUUCAAUUUAUGUACGUGUUAGGAUAGGUUUGAAGAUGUCUGAGGGGAAAGAAAGUAGUACCACAGCUUUGAUUAAAAGUUUGCUGUUUGCAUCAUCUCUGAUUUGUGUUUCCACCUUGAAACUUCUUUUUUUUUUUUUAUUCUAAAAUCGUUCAUAAUGGUCAAUAUUAGUCUAAACAUAAGCCUCUCAGGUUGAUGUUUCAUUGAUUGGAUUUUCUUGUAAUGUAAUAAUGCAGAUAAGGGAAAGCAAGUAGGUCGAAAAUCAAAUGAUAAGGCAGUGGUAAAAAAUGGAAAACAGAUUCAGCAAAACACAGCAACUACAUCUGAAGAGUACAGGAUGCCUCUUGUGUGGAUCGACUUGGAAAUGACUGGUACCAACUUGUUGCCCUGACCUCUAUAUGUAUAAUGCUUUUUAUGACAAAAAAUCACACUCAAACGAACUGAAUUGUCUCCAGUUGUCCACUACUUUCUAGUACUUUUUUAGUUCAUGCCAAGGAAUACUCUUCAAGUUUUGUGAAUGACCCGAGCCCCUUAAACUAACACCUAUUGUUCAUCAUUGUUCCUAAACGUGCAGUUAUUGGUCAUCAUUCUCUGAAUAAUGUGUAAUAUGACGUUAUUGAUGCAUCCAAAUAUUUCUUUACGAUCGUUUUUGUCACCCAAGUUAAAAAGCGGGUGUUUUGUUAUAUUUAAUGACUUGUUACUAAUAGAUGUCCAAUAGUCUUCUUUCUUGAAGUCCAGUUUUAUUUCUAGAACCGCUGCCGUUGUAUCCUUCUUAUUUUAGAGUAAAAAUUUACACGUUUUUUCCUUGUACCAUAAAAAUUUACAUGUUUUUUCCUUGUACCCUUUGUCCUCCUAUUUGACUGCCAUAGGAACUACUUCUGAUCUUACUGAAUUAUGUUCUUUGAUAUUUAUUAUCAUCUCCUUCAACAUAGUAAUCUUGGUAGCUCAUUAUCGGGUCUGUGAUCAGUUGAGUCCUAUUGUAUUCCAUCACUGUAUCCUGGGAUUAUUGUCUUGGUGAUGAUUGGUGGAGAGUUAACAUCAUUAGAAUUUAGAAGUGUUCUUUUCCGUUGUAAUUUACGCAUUUGCGAUGUUCUUAUGAUAAAUUUGCUUGCACUGUUUUAUCUGCAUCUUAUGUAGGCCUGGAUAUCCAAGAGGAUCGAAUAUUGGAAAUUGCCUGUAUAAUCACGGAUGGAAAUUUGUCCAAACAAGUGGAGGUCUUGCUCUGUCUUAAGUUUUUUGUCUUGCUCUCUUUUAUUUUGAUUUUUAUCUUAUCUGGGAUUUUUGGCAGAAUCUCUGUUGCCCUUUGGUUGUUAUUAAUGUUGUUUGAUUUUGGUAAUGCCACCAUCGACAAGCUAGGAAAGUAUACUUAGAUAUUUUGUGAUGGGAAAGCAGUAUUAAUUACACAUGGAGAUCAUUGCAUUUGUUAUGAAAUCACAUCUAUUGUUUACUGUUCAGAAUGAAAAAGAAAAAAAAUGUCAAUUAAAUAUACUAGUGCAAAAGAGUAAAAGAUACAUGGGGUUUUAGUGUUACUACCAUAUAAAAUUAUACAUAACUCUGCUUUCCAUUGUGUUUUAGGCAUUUUCACACAUUGUGUACCAAAGCACAUUCUAUACGUAGAUAGAGGAGUGCCCUAGUUGUGGGUAACAGGCAAUAUAUCCAAAUUUUCAUUUUCUUUUCUCCCAUUCUACUCGUAAAUGAGUAUUCGGUGCAAUAUGUAUGUUUAUUGGAAAUCUUUAUGCCAUCAUGAAUUGUAGUUCAAAUUGGAAUCUAUGCCUUAUCUUGUAUAUGCCAUCAUGAAUUGCAGUUCAUAUUGCAUUGUUUGCUGUUUCUUCAAUGAUAUAAACUGCUCUAACACUACGUAAGCGAUUAUCUAAAUUACUCUCAGGAAUGCAAAUCAUUUUAUUCUUAUUUUAGGGUCCUGAUUUAGUUAUCCAUCAAAGCAAGGAAUGUCUAGAUAAAAUGGGAGAAUGGUGUCAAACUCAUCAUGCAGAUAGUGGUAAGUUGGUCUCUGCGUUUUACAUUAUCCUCGUUAUAAGUGAUUUAGUGAUACUGUGCACAUUUACGAGCAGUUGAAAAUUUAUAUCUUUUGACUUCAUUUAGGAUUGACAAAAAAGGUGCUUCACAGUACAAUUGAUGAAAGAAAUGCCGAAAAGCAGGUACACUCCACCUUAAAGUUGUGUGCCAUAUAUUGAGUUUAUUCAAGUGAUUGGGAAAAUUAUUGUAUUUUGUGAGUGGAUUUUCAGAAGCUAAUUGGUAAAACUUGUUUAUUGUGUAUAUUUAUGUUUUUUUCAUUAAGUUUGUUGUUGGUACCUUUCUCAACCCAGUGUUAAGUUUGACUUAUUAUAGGUUUUGGACUUCGUGAAAAAGCAUGCUGGCACGCGUACACCUCUGCUAGCGGGAAAUUCAGUUUAUGUGGACUUUAUGUUUUUAAAGGCAAGCUCAGCAUUACUGCAUGGAUUCUACUUUUAGUUUGCUAUAAAAUUUUACAUUCGCUUUGGUUUUCACACUAUAUAUGUUGGGCCGUAAGAAACAAUCAAAGUAGUAAAUCAAUAUCCAAGCAUAAUCAAUCUCCUUUUUAUUUAGUACCUAUUUGGUUUUGGCUCAUAUGGAUGGACAAUGGAAAGAAAAUGUGUCAUAUGUUUGGUUUCAAGCUUGAACUUAGAGGAGGCAGGCAGCGUAUGUUCCACUUCAGAUUGGGAACCACACACUUUGAAACAAUUGAACUGGAUGUAUAUGCAAACACAUCACAUUAUCGGUUAUCACCCUGAUAAAUUUAGAGACUAGUUUAGCAAGUCACCUAUGCUCGUGUUGUACUAUUGAGUGCUAGUAAGAUAAGCUGGGUAUUAAAUAUAUUACUACAUAGUUUCAGUUGCAAGUCGUAACUGUCUACACUUCCUUGUUUGCAGAAAUAUAUGCCAGAUUUGGCUAGUCUUUUCUCUCAUGUUCUUGUUGAUGUUAGCAGCAUUAAAGCUCUAUGCAUCCGCUGGUAUCCAAGAGGUAAUGUUCAUUUCUCAGAUUUGGUUAUGUUUCAAACAACCCGUAUAUAAUAAUUACACAUGAAGGGGCACAAAGAGAUGUCAUGAUAUAGUCUUUAUUGCAAAGAUUAAGAAUGACAAACUUGAACCAGUUGUGUCCUGUCACAUUGAUCUCCCAUGCUGUUCAUGCAAAUUCUCCCAUAAAAUUUCUUGAUGGUGGAAUAGUAAAAAAAAAAAAUUUAAUCACUUCACCUGAGAAAGUGAGAAUUUGCUGUGAUUUUUUUGGGUGCAAUCGAACAAACCCUUGGUAUCUGGAAAUGCACCUGACUAUAUAUUCCUCAAUAUGCUACAUGUGCACUUUCCGUCUUUGUUCUUGCUUUUUCUUUUUUUCUCACCUUAUAUAUUUAGGUGCAAGAGUUCACUGAAUUGUCUGUGAUACCACCUCGUCUUCUUUGGUUUUCCUGCAGAUAACAAAAAAGCUCCUUCCAAGCAAAACAAGCACCGUGCUCUGGAUGAUAUUAGAGAAAGCAUAAGAGAACUCAAAUACUACAAGGAGAACAUUUUUAAAGCAAAGUCCAAAAAGUGAAAAGGUCAAGUGGAGGACUUAUUAAUAUUUGAUGGAUAUUUCCUCCGAUAUUCUCUUUGUUGACAGUGAACCUCAGCCUGCGAAUGGUUCAUCUAGACUGAUAUUUAUUGACUAGGUGGAACCUGCUAUAUAGUUUUUUCCCAUCAAAAUGUUUUCGUACAACAGAGAUAUCAUGUAGUUGAAAUUCACUUUUGAACAGUACACUGUAAGGAUUUUAUAAUUGAUUGUUGUCAAUGCUAUAAAUUUCUUAUGUGGCAUGGUAGGAUUAUCGGUGUACUUUUUCUGACACUUCUUUGUUAGAUGAUUGGUAUAGAAAUCAAUAUAUUCUACCUGUAACCAUCUAUGUGAAUGAUUUGGAAAGAUGAUACACAUCAAGAACCACAAUCACGCAAAACUGCUUUAGCAAAUCAUAAAAUGAUCUGCCAUCAGACAAAAAUCGAUUUGGUAAUUGGUAUAGGUGUUGCAAAUAUAUCUCCAAAGAAAGUACUUGUGUCUUUAUUGACAGAAGUCUGAAGGUUAUAUGGGUCAAAAUACCAAUUUCUAUCUUUACAAAAGGUACUGAAAAUUCAACACUAAAGAAAAAAGAGAAAGAGCUUGUCCGCAACCUUGAUAUUAUUACCAUCUUCCAUUACUUUCUUCAAUGCAUGUUCUUGAUUGGCCUAGAGAAAGUCCAACCUUAUGUUAUACUAAUCCAUAGACUGCAAGCCAAACAAAAGCCUGUACAUGAGUAAACAUUGGAGAGCCUUGAUGUGUCCAGAUGUCCCAUGAAACAUUGUUUGCAGUUUGCAACACUGUUUCUUCAACUUGGAUGCCAUUUCACAAGCAUAAACAGAAGUUUGUGUUUCUACCCAAUAAUAUUGUAUACCAAUUUAUCUCGCCUGAGAUUUUAAAUACAGUUAAGAUUGCUCAGUUCAAGGCCACUCACCGGAAACUAUACAAUGUUACGCAGCACAAGAAAAUCCCCAUAAUCUAAUUUCAUGUGUCCUUUCUCCGUUGUGAAUCUUCCUCUUCCAACUCUUUUAUACUUUGAACUACGUUAUCAACUUUGGUUGUAAGAUGGUCAUUGUGCACCUCAAUAUCUUUUAAAAUCUUACUAAUCUGAAUCUUAUAUGCUGCACAACGUUCUUCAUAUGCUGCACAUUGCCGUUGAAACCUUUGUCUCUCAUUAUACAACUUCGUGGUUAGCUCUCGAAUCCUUCUAUCCUUCUCAUCCUGCAAAAGGAUAGUGCAUCCAAUAUCAGAAAUAAUUAGUCUAAACAAAUAUCAUAAUUCUUUAUAUGUUUGACCUCUUACCGGCCUAUACAUUUUUAAACUAAGAGUUGGCCUCAUUGAAUUCGACACCCAAUCUACAAAUACAGGGAGCCUAUGACUCGAACAUCAUGUUUUUCAAGCUACACAUCAUAGCUUCUUCUUAACAAACCAUCCUGGGGUUAUUAUACUUGAAAGUCAUAUACAGGUAUGGAAGUAUCAAAGGAAGUGAGAAAGUUUUAGUCAUAAAUCCUAUAGUGUUUUGAUGAGAUAAUUGUAUAUCAUAGAACAGUCUUAACCCGUAUUUGAAUUAUUCAAAGUGCUACACCAGCUAUAGAUGUCGUCACACGUACCAUCUCAUUGCAACUCUUUGAUGCUUAAAAAUAAUGCAAUGAAGAUUUCUUACUAUAAUGUUUGAAUCAACUGAGAAGUUACCCCUGCUACAGAAUUUGAGGCCAUUGUGUAUCUAUCAAGAAUUGCUAGUGAUGGCCAAGUGAAUGCAAUGAAUCUAAGUUAUUGGGCUAGAGACCUACACUCAUGUUGUUUAACUUCAUUAUCACCUCUUUGAGUGGCCAUUAGAUAUCUGCUACUCUAUAGCGUCAAAUAAUUAUGAUUUUCAAGCGUACCUCAUUAAGUUGCCCUUUAUCUGAUCUCACGGGAACUUCGCUGGGGACCAUCAGCUCAUGAUUAUGCUCUCUCAAAAAAUUCGUAACAACCCAUUUCUCCAUAUCCCUUCUGUAAGCUAUUACUAAGAUUGCUUUGCAUCCUACUCUGGUUUGCUUUGCACGAGCUUUUUCUACUCUCUGUCUCUUUCGCCGAAAACCUUCUUUUGAACAUACAUAAUCAAAACCAAUAACUUCACGGUCUACACGCGAUCUUCGCUUGCGAUUUACGCGAAUAGUGAAACCAUUCCGUCUUCCAUACGCAUCAUAAUAUUCCCUAGCAUCGUCUGCUGAUUUAAACUCCAUGCCGACAUAAGGCUCUGAAUGUAUAACUGUUACAGCUAAGCCUUCAGUAGGAAGACCAGCAGUCUUCUCGUUUCCGCUAGUGUCGUCACACUCUUCAACUGUGUCAAACUCAUUCGAAGAUCCAUCAUCCACAUCCCUAUCACUAUCCAUCGAUUCAAACUCAAGACCUGAUGUGUUUGCCAUAAUAUCCCUGCACAACAAACAGUGAUUUUUAGGGCAUAUCCUCUAAACAGCUCAAAAGGAAUAUGAUAAUGGAUAAUGACAAUACACUGCAAGAAAAGAAAAGGAAAUGCAGCAAAGAAUGAUACAAUACCUGAAGGUUGUCAACCAUAUGGCUUAACUCAAUCUUGGUGCAGUGGUAAAACUUGGCUUUCUUCAGUUUUAAAACCUACAAGAAGCCGAAAGUCUGCACAUAUGUCAAUUUUAGCACAAUGAUAAGGAAAAUAAAAGCAAUAUAAUUGUGUAAAGAAAGUUAACAUAUUGCGACAUACUGAGUGGGAGACAAGAAGCCCCAAAACUGAAUGAAACAUGAAAAUGAUCCAGCUAGAAGACCCAUAUUGAAUAUUUUUCACUAAAUUGGACAACUUUUGACAUUCCAAAACCAUGAAUCAAACAACUCUACCAAAUUAUGUAUAGAAUUAAAAUCGUACAAUGACAGCUUCACAGAUUGGAAAAAUGAGUACAAAUUAUACAAUACUAAAACCUUAACUGCAGUAUGGAACCCCCUUACGAACAUUUCACAUUUUCUUCGAGCUAAUAGAUCCAAACAAAAUCUUCAAACUUGAAUAGAACCAAUAAAAGCUUGAAACUUGAUUUGAUAUUUAAAACAGAACCUGAUAAUUCAGAAAAUUCUACAUAAAAAUGUCGACUUUAACUUAAAUAUGAUGGAAUUAAGAUGAAGAUCGUAGAACAAAUGAACAAUGUGAUAUUUGAAACACACAAAAUUCUAACUUUUAUAAACUUAUUCCAAACAAUAUAAGAUUUUCUAUGAAAUUGAAUUCGAAUUCAUCAAAACCCAAAAUAAAAUAAAAAUUGAAUAAAUAUUCUCAAAUUAUGUUCUAAAAUGAUUAAAAACCUUAACAAAACCCUAAACAUUAGUAUAAAGACAAAUUGAAUAUAAGAAAAGAGAAAAAGUUGUGCGUUCAACUUACCAGAGCGAACGAAUCAUCACGAACGAAGAAGAUAAUAUGGCGUUUAAUUGAUUCGGGUUGAUUAAUUUUUUUAAAACCUUAUUAUUAUUAUUCAAAGCAACUUUAUAAAAUGGUUAUAGAACUGAUAAAGCCCUGUUUGGUUUACGAGUUUUGUUGAGAAAUGCAUUUUUCAGGUGCCUUUUGUUUUGUGGUGAGAAUAUUAACAAGCAACAACCCAUUUGUUGCAGGCAUGCCACCCCUGGCUAAAGUGUUGCAUACUUGCAUGCAUGAAACUCUAUUCUACUGUAUUUUUGUAGCACAGCAGGAGUGCAGGACAUUUUUUUUUGGCUCAGUUGUAGCAUAGACCGUAGAGUUGUAGUCCUCGUGUUGAACUGUACAAUGAGACCCUACGCUAGGACUUUGGAGUUUGGAUAGCAUUUUCACUUGUUGCGCGAUGGUGUGGAUGCAUUUGUAUUAGCUCUGAUUAUUACUUGACAUAUAAAUUCUGAUAUUCGAUCUUUUUACAAUAUACAGUAUAUGAUUUUGAUAUAAACAGAAACAACCAAAUUUGGUGGUGGUAGUGAUGGUGGUAGACUGGUAGGCCAGUAGAGAAGUUCUAAAUUCUAACUAGUUCUAACACAACCAUUGUAGACUGGUUUUAGUCCCACAUUAGUACCAAAGCUAGAAGGCCAAAGGAACGUAUGUGAAACAUCUGGUCUAACUAAGAACAAGUCACAGGACGAAGUGGUUGGGUCAGGACUCGAUAAUCAAUGUUUUGGGUGGAGUAUGGGCCGGGCUCAGGAAAGUCCCCGAGCUGCAAUCCGUAGAAAUUACGGGCUCGGAAACGAGUUCUAUUUCUUUGCGCGGUAAUCAAUGGUACUGCCUGAAGCAUAUUAGCCGACAAGUUGUUGAACCCGUGCUACGCACCGGGAUUUGUGUUAUUCAAUAAAAUGGAAAAUCACCAAACUUUUUUUAAUGCCCUUCUCAACCUAAAUUUGUAGAGAUUUUAUAAUCUUUAUAAGUGAUUUGUUGAACCGAGUUUUUUUUAAUGUCCUUCUUAACCUAAAUUUGUAGAGAUUUAUAAUUAAUAUUUUUUGUAUUUAGUAUGGUUUCUAUAUAUGAAUUAAGGAUUUUAAAUAGAAGAAGAAUUUAGUAGGAAAAAGAGAUUUAGAAUCAAGUUCUAAAGGGUUUUAAGGUUUCUAUAAAUCUCUCUUGACAUGAAAGGUGGAUUUCCUUUUUAACUACAACUGGGCUUCAAUUGGGCUUAAAGUUGGGCUUAAGCUAGUUAUGUUCUCAAGUUGUUGAGAACACGCCACGUGGCACUUGUUAGGCUCCACUAUUAUAUAGUACAAGUUGUUGAACCCAUGUUACGCAUCGGGAUUUGUGUUAUUCAAUAAAAUAGAAAAUCACCAAACUUUUUUUAAUGCCCUUCUCAACCUAAAUUUGUAGAGAUUUAUAAUUAAUAUUUUUUGUAUUUAGUAUUGUUUUUAUAUAUGAAUUAAGGAUUUUAAAUAGAAAAAGAAUUUAGUAGAAAAAAAGAGAUUUAGAAUCAAGUUCUAAAGGGUUUUAAGGUUUCUAUAAAUCUCUGUUGACAUGGAAGGUGAAUUUCCUUUUUAACUACAACUGGGCUUUAAUUGGACUUAAAGUUGGGCUUAAGUUAUAUUCUCAAGUUGUUGAAAACACGCCAUGUGGCACUUGUUUAGCUCCACUAUUAUAUAGUACAAGUUGUUGAACCCGUACUACGCACCGGGAUUUGUGUUAUUCAAUAAAAUGGAAAAUCACCAAACUUUUUUUAAUGCCCUUCUCAACCUAAAUUUGUAGAGAUUUUAUAAUGACUUUAUAAGUGAUUUGUUGGACCGAGUUUUUUUUAAUGCCCUUCUUAACCUAAGUUUGUAGAGAUUUAUAAUUAAUAUUUUUGUAUUUAGUAUGAUUUUUGUAGGGGUACUAUAUACAACAUACAUGUGGCACCAUCUCUACCGUCCAUCAUGGUGCCACAUGUCAACAUCUAAUGGGGUCUCUCUUGAUGGCACAAGUUACAAAGUUAAGUCUUAUUAUUACAAAGAUAUUUUCCCCAUUAUUACCAUAUUAAUUGCUAAGAAUGGAGUUACAUUGUAGCCUAUAAAUAUAAAGGCAAACUACUCAUCUUCUCAUGGUCUCAUGGUGAAUCAUACACAAGACCUCAACACUCUCUCAUGAGACCUCACCUCUCAGGUCUCAUCUCUCUCUUGAGCUCUCUCCAUUAUCGAGCUCCCAUUUUGUAUCACCACUACUAUAAUAAAGUUCAUUCUCUCUCUCCGUGGAUGUAGGCACAAUUGCCGAACCACGUAUACAAUGGUGUUCAUGUCUCUACUUUAUUAUUAUUGUUAUGUCAUUACAUAUUUACAUCUUUCAUUAAUGUAUUGACCGACCUCACAAAUAUGGUCAAUACAAUUUUUAUAUAUGAAUUAAGGAUUUUAAAUAGAAGAAGAAUUUAGUAGGAAAAAAAGAUUUAGAAUCAAGUUCAAUCUCUGUUGACAUGGAAGGUGGAUUUCCUUUUUAACUACAACUGGGCUUAAAGUUGGGCUUAAGUUCUAUUCUCAAGUUGUUGAGAACACGCCACGUGACACUUGUUAGGCUCCACUAUUAUAUAGUAUAUAAAUUAACACAAUUAUCCACUUGGCCCUUCAUUGGACUAACUGAACGGGGAUUACGAUUCUGUGACUACACCUUUUUUGUUUAACCAAGUAAUGACAAUGUGUUGCAUACCACCACCACUGGCAGUUGCUCGGGCAACUCGAAAUGGUGUUCACUAAGGUAGAUUCCUCAAAUGCUGCAGGUGUUUGGUAUGUUCUAAAAGUAUGGAAGCACUCCAGUGUCAACAAUGACACAGUGGGGAUGUAAAUGUUCUUACAGUUUGGACAGGGUUUAGCAGCAAUGGUGGUUCUCAUCAAUGACAUACUGUAUGAAGGGAACUGAUCGAUAUAACAGAAGGCGGUUCACUGUGCUGGUAUGGCAGUAAAACAUGAUGGUGCUCAAAUAGACAAACUCUACCAACUGGAACAUUUUUUAGUCUCUCCCCAUCUAUAUAUCUAUAUAAUAGCUAGACCCAUGCGGUCCCACAUUCUCUCUCCUAGGUGGCAUCCUAAAUGAUCUCCAAGCUCUCACAAUUUUUCUAUUUUAAAAAAAAAAAAAAAAAUUGGUUACUUUAAAACUAAUUUUUGUUUUUCUCUAUAUUUCUUAUCCAUUUUUCAUUAAACAAAUAACCUCUACACUUUUUAUCCACUCUCCCACUAAGCACAAACCUCUCAAAUCAAAAUAAAAACACAAUAAAAUAGUAAAAACAUGAAUUAAUCAAACAUAAAUAACACGGGCAGUCUAAUGAAGCUUUUUCUCAUACCCCGGUGCGUAGCGCGGGUUCCCAGCUUGUGAAUACUAAUCAUGGAAAUUUGGGAGAAUGCAUCCACAUCCACAGGGAACAAAAGAGAAAAGGCCAGAUGCAAUGUUAUGAUUUCUGUUAUUUUUUCGGAAAGCAUAAGCAAGUUUAAGAAAUACAUUAUAUUGGUUUCUAUAAAUUUCAGUUAAAUUAAAUGCAUCGAAAAUGAAAUGAUAUAUAACUUCAGAGUAAUUGAUUUCAUAUACAGUGUACAAUUAAAACUUAACCAUUCUGUUUCAUAUACAUGUGUAGUCGCAGUAACUAGCAUUACAUUUACCUAAAGCUCAGUCUCCACUAUUUGAUACAAUAAUACAAUAGUGUGGAAACAGUGAUUUAAGUUAAAUCUAGCUGAAAAUGUUAGAUUGUUCCCGAAUGUAAGAUAACACACCAGUUCAAGAACCACAGCAAAUAACAAGCAAAAGUAUACACUGAUCUAGUUAUCUUCUAUGUGGAUCUGGACUGGCUUGUUCGUCAGAUUCUAGUUCUUUCAUAUUGGUAACUGCAACUUCGACUUUUGAUGAUAAGUUCUGUGUGUGUUCCUCUAUAUCUUUCAAAAUCUGAUUUAGGCUAUUUUGACAAGCUAUACGUAAUUUUUUCUCUCGUUGGAGCUCUUCAGAGAGUUCUCUAAUUUUUCGAUCCUUGUCAUCCUGCAAAAUAUGAAGCAACACUAACAACACUCCUCACAGGAUAAAACCUAGGCAUAAGCACAAAACAUAUACUGUACUAAUCAAAUGGAAGAGAAUGAAAAUUACCAACCAGAGGUGUUAUGGUCUUGGAUAAUAUUCCCAAAGGAUGGUUAUGUUGAUGAACAAUCUCAGAAACAAUCCAUUCAUUUUCCCGAUUCUUCACUACCAUACGAGCCUUGCAACCCGUCCUUUUUUCAAUACGGUCUUUACGCUCUUUACGUACAUACUUACAUCUUUUAUCCUUUUGACGUUCACCUUCUUUAGAACAAACGAAAAUACGACUUCUCACUGAUCCAUCUGCUCUUAAGUACUUCUUAGCUUUUCUAACACUAAAACCCACUUUCCAAGCAUAUAAAUAAUAUUGUUCAUAAGCUUCAUUCUCUGAUUCAAAUGUUAAACCUUCAUAUAUUGUUUCAUCAGAUUUCUCUAAAUCGAUAUCAUUUAAUACAUGUAAAUGGCCUUCUCUCAUUUCUUGAUCAUCUAUUCCUACUACUUGGUCUUUCGGCGAAAAAUUAGUGGAACUAUAAGUAAUAUCAGCUGUAUCCAUACCUGUACAAUACACAUUCUUUAGUACUAUACUGUAUAUAUAGAGUUUAAUUGUCAAAUUUUCACAAUUAUAUGUAAUUAAUUUUGAUAAUAAAAAGUGAUGAAAUUGGUGGAAAAAAAAAAAUGUUACUGAAAUAACAGAAUUGAAGAAGAAAUAAAAGCAAUAAGAAAACAUUACCAGAUGGAAUUUUAGGGCUGGAGAAGGUGUUAGAAGAGAAAAAAUUGAGAGAAGAUAUUGAUCAAAGAUAUGGUUUCAAGUUUGAUAAACAUGAACCCUAAACGAAAUUGAUUCUUCUUCCUUUCAAUUGAAAACUUUGGGAUUGCUUCAUUCUUUCGCGUUCACUUCAUGUCUUCAUUAACUGAUAACUGAAGGAAGCUGUUGAUCUCUGUUCAAAUUGGGAGAUUUUGUAAUUGGGUAGCCCAUAGGUUUGCCAGAGAAAUAUUUGGAUUGGAUCGAGCAAAUAAGUCCACAGGAUCUGAAGGGCCAGUCCAUACUCCAUACCAGUCUAUCUGUCCAUGGACUGAACUCCCACACAUCAGAAAAUUUCCAAGUGAACUGAAUUUUUCCAUUGCACAAGUGGAACUCUUGACUCUUGAGGUAUUGCAAAUUUGCAAUGUCUUAUGGUAGAGGAUUGUGGAAGGGUAUCAUGAAUAUUUAUCCAAAAUUCAAGGAAAACAUCUUUUGUCGUUUGGGAGAUGGAUCAAACAUAAGAUUCUGGUUAGAUGUUUGGAUUGGUGUUGAACCAUUAAGUGUUAGGUUCACGUAUAUAUUCAAUGUGACCAACAACAAGCUUGGUACUGUAAGCAGUAUGGGGCAACUAAAUGGAGCUGUGUUAACUUGGGAUUUUAUGCUGCGUCGGAACCUAUAUGAUUGGGAGCAAGAACAGUUGGAAGAUCUCCUUACCCUAAAUGAGGAACUAGACUCGUGGAGAUGGCUUGGGAACAAUGUAUGAAAUUUUACUGAAUGAGGCGGGAACCCAAAAUGGUUUGGCACAACUUUUCCCGGUGAAACUGGUUUGGAAGUUUUUAAAUAUCGGCAUAAUUUAUAGGAUAUUACUAAUUAUUAUUAUUAUUAUUAUUUUUUUUAUACCAAUAUUUUCGUAAAAUAUUAUUGAGUUGACUGGAGAUUGUAGGACUGAAUGUAGAUUGACACUCAUCCAGAUUCACAAUGAAUCCAUCCAGGUCUUCACUAUUAAUUGGUCUAUAUGAAUUGCUGAUGUGGCAUAUAAUAAUAGUACAGUAAAUAAUUUCUUGAGUCAAAAAACAUAUGUGGCAUAUUGCUUGGUUGAUAUUAUUUUCUGGGUACCAAGUAAUCAAUCAUUUAUUUCCAGAUAUUUGUCCGAAGAGACAAAGUCAAUCUGUGAAAUUUCUGUUUUUGAGCAAACACGAACACAACGAACAACAUGGCUUCUCUAACAAACCCUUUAAUCUCAUUACCAACAUCAAAAUCAAAAUUAGGGUUUUGUUUAGAAAACCAGAUUCUUACACAAUCUCUAUCACUACACCCAUUAACAUCUAUAAACCUGAAGAAAUCUAUGAAUUUUGGAAGGAAGAGGAAGUGUUCUUCACUCAAUGUUGUCUCUAAAGCAACAUCUGUUAAACCCACUAAUACUGAGAUUCAAGGUCUUAACAUUGCUGAAAAUGUUGGUCAGGUACACCAACUCAUCACUCUUCACUCAAAUCUUAUCCAAUUUUGAGUCAAAAUAUCAAUACAGUAUUGACUGUAUUACUAGUAAAUUUACUAAAAUUUGCAUUCAUGUUGCUGCUUGAAAGUUGUUAUUCUUGUUGGAUGUGCAUGCUAUAUGUCUGAAAUCAAAUGGAAGUUGUUAUUCUUGUUAAUGGCGAUAUGGCAUAUGUGACUGUUAAAAUAGAAAUGGGCAUUCAUGAUAUUUUAUCAUUUUUGUUACUUGGAAGUAGGUUGUAUUUGAAUCUAUCCCUGCUGUUCAUCUAUAGUGUUGUUAGGAGUUAAGGCAAGCAGUUUAUAAUACUCUACACGUAAUACUCAUUUUGAUGUGUCAUUAUCACAACAGUCUCCUUGAUAUUACUCACCUAUUAGGCAUUGACAACUUGAAUCCCGUUUCGCUGUUGGUGUAUUUUAAGAUCAUGCUACAGGUUUCAAAUUAAGCGGUGGGUGCUAUCGUGAUAAAAGAAAUAACUUAUAGUUUAGAUUGAUAUGACCCAGAUAUGAAGGCAAAUUUUCCACAGACCGCAGGGAUAGGUCUUACAUAACCUAAAACUACUCACCCCUUGUGAUUGGCCACUGCCCGAAGUACACUUAGUGUGACAAUUCUUUGAAAAUGCAAAUAAGCGUUCAGCCAAGUGUCACAUGGAUCAGGGAGUUCUUUUGAAUCACAUACUUUGUUUCCUAUGGUUUUUAUAAUAAAGUUUAGGGAUUUAGAGGCAAUAACUGUUUAUUUUUGGUAUAUUUAUUUGUGUACGACUGUGUUCUUAAUAUUAUUAUAGUGGACGAGUUAUAAAUUCAAACUGAUGCUUGUUUUAUGUUAUCUUUCGAUUGGCCUGGAACAGCUUAUAGGCAAUACACCAAUGGUAUACCUGAAUAAUAUUGUAAAGGGAUCGGUUGCAAACAUUGCAGCCAAGCUUGAGAUCAUGGAGCCCUGUUGUAGUGUUAAAGAUAGGUGAGUAUAAUAUUGAUAUUUAUGCAGCUCACAUGGUUUGCUAUAUGAUUAAUGUAAUGAUGGGGGUUUUUCUUUCUAUCGUUGUCUUCAGAAUAGGUUACAGUAUGAUUACUGAUGCCGAGCAGAAGGGAGUUAUAACACCUGGGAAGGUAUUUCAAGUUUUGAUUAUACUUGCAAUCACUUAUAAGUUCAUUUAUGAGUUACGACAUCAAUUCAAUCUCUAAACUUUGGGAAACAAUAUCCUCUCAUUGAAAGCUAAUGAUUAAUUUCACUAUGAAAUUAAAUUUUCCUCUUUACCCAUGUUCUAGACUACCCUUGUGGAACCCACAAGUGGAAACACUGGCAUUGGUCUGGCAUUUAUUGCUGCUUCAAGAGGAUAUAAACUCAUCUUGACAAUGCCUGCAUCAAUGAGUAUGGAAAGAAGAGUCCUUUUCCGAGCAUUUGGAGCGGAGCUAGUUCUUACUGAUGCGGCAAAGGGAAUGAAGGGAGCUAUUCAGAAGGCUGAAGAUAUUUUGAAGAGCACACCCGAUGCAUAUAUGCUUCAACAAUUUGACAAUCCAGCAAAUCCAAAGGUAUUUUGUUAUGAUUAUGUGUCUUUGUCCUACGUGCCUUCUUCAAAAUAAUUAUUCAGAGAUUUUGUGAUCGGGUUGAACCAUUAAUAAAUUAUAGAUAUCUGUGUAUUGCAACUUUAAGUUUAUGAAUGCUUCACACCAUAAAGGACAUACAUAAUCAAACCAAUAGUCAGAGACUGCCUGGUCAUCAUAUUUGUCUGAUGAUUUAUAGAUUUAAUUAUUUAUAUUGUAAUACUCAAGAUUUUUGGUAAUUUGGUAUGGAGGUCGGCAGAUCUCAAGUAGGACUACGUUUUUUUCUAUGAAAAACAGAUAUUUGAGUGGUUGCUCAUGAUCCAGUUGCAUGAUGAGAAUUAUGUUUUUGAAGAAUUUGUGUUUAAAUUAAUUUACUAACAUGAUUGAAUUACUUUCGAAUUCAUGUCUUGAUAUAUCGUAAGAUGUUUUUCAGGUACAUUAUGAAACAACUGGUCCAGAAAUCUGGGAAGAUACAAGUGGCAAAGUUGAUAUCUUUGUUGCAGGGAUUGGAACUGGUGGAACAAUUUCUGGAGUUGGCCGAUUCUUGAAGGAGAAAAAUAGUAACAUCAAGGUAUGUAUGUUGUUCUAAAACAUCAUAAUGUCUAUAUUACGAUGGUGAUUGGGAGUAUCAUGCUCUUACCAUAAGAAAAAGAGGUGGGAAUUUGGCAUUCCCUCGAUUGCGCAAGUUUACUUUAGGACAGUGGUUUGCCCUUCUGAUGAAGAUUUACCUUUCAGUUUAUUGAAUAUCUACAUGAUGUAUUCAGGUAAUUGGUGUGGAGCCAACAGAAAGCAACAUACUUUCUGGGGGGAAACCUGGUAUAGCAAUGAAUAUAAACUGUUUGAUUUUACAUCAUAAGAAUAAUGCAUCCUUCUCUUUUGAUAAUUUUCAUGUUGUCUGUUACUGAUCAAACAUACAGGUCCUCACAAGAUUCAAGGGAUUGGAGCAGGUUUUGUACCUGGAAACUUAGACCUUGAAGUGGUUGAUGAAGUUUUAGAGGUAGCUGUUAUAUCUCUCUAAAUCUAUCCAAUUUUUGUUAUCUGUUACAGUGUUACUUGUCUUACAUUAGCUUCGGAAUACAUCCCCUGGGUUGACUUAUGUGUCUAGAUUUAAAUCUAACUUGUUAUAAUAGAAUAUAUUCUAGCUUACCCAGCUGUUAACAAAAUAGUUCCGUGGAUUCUGCUGGGUAUUGUGUAGAUUCUCCAAGACAGAAGCCCACCCUGACAAAAAUUUCUGACAAAGUAAAGUUGGUCUCAGGCAGUUAGGCUGACUUCAUUCAACUUGACCUGCCUCAUAGUUUGAUCCAGCUGAUAAAACUCAGUGUCAUUCAGAGUCAAUACACUUGCUUUUUUUCUUAAUUGGUGGAGAUAAUAAAUACUAAUAUGACUGUUAAUUUCUGCAAUAAUCUACACACAAUUCAGCUUCUUCUUCUUCUUCUUCUUCUUCUUUACAAGUAAUAUGUAUUCUUUAGUACUUCAGUUCAAGAACUAUGUCCUGCUUGUUAAUAUUUUAUGUGACAGAUUUCCAGUGAUGAAGCUAUCGAGACUGCGAAGCAAUUGGCACUUCAAGAAGGCUUGCUGGUUAGUACAUAAUACCCAUUUGUAUGAUUGACUUAUAUAAAAUCAAGAAGGGGAAUGUCUGCAUCUUCCCUGGAAGUAUGAUUCUGAGAGAACAAUAAAUUGAAGUAUUGGCGAAUAAAAAAAGUAUGAAGAUCAAGAUAUGUCAUAUUGUUGUAAAUAUAAGUUUUAAUUGGAUAUUUCAUUAUUUUGUAGCCAUUAAUCAUCCAUAAGUAACAAAACCUUAAACUUUCUGGGCUGUUUUAAUAGUUGGUGUCCCUGCAUGCAAACCUAUUUGAAAACAUAUUUUCUUUUUUAAUCAAUGGUCUUACAAUCUCCUUGCAUAACUUUUACCUUUGCCAUUUUCUAGUAAUUGCAAAUCACUUCUGUAAUAUCUCUGUAUGUAAUAAAAUUGCUAUUCCCAUAUCCUUUUAAAUUCAUCAAUCGUUUUUCCUCCUUAUGGACGAUGUGUAAUUCCCUAUUACCACAUUUUUGAAAUGUUCUGUGCAGGUGGGAAUAUCUUCUGGGGCUGCUGCUGCUGCUGCUAUCAAAGUUGGAAAAAGACCUGAGAAUGCAGGAAAGCUUAUUGCGGUAUGGAUCUUUUUCCUUAAACUCUGCAAUGUAACUUACAUCUAGUAAUAUAAGUUUUUAAUGGAAUCCUAAACCAAAGUUCAUCUGUGAACUUGAAAGAGAAGGAAACCCAACUUUGCUCCAUACAACUUGAAGAAACCUCUGUAAAUCAGUGAAAUACACUUUUAAGUAUGACUGCUUACAUUCGACCGCAUGCCUACUUAAGUAAUGAGGAAGUCCCAUCGCUUAUUCUCCACAUCAGCAUGAAACAGUGGCUUGUCUAAUUACAUACCGAGCCCUUGGGUUUUAUGUUGAUAUGGGAAGCGCAGGGCGGAGUUACCCCUUAAGUGGGAUGUCCACUUCAAAGCAAUUUACCUUUUGGCCCGAUUACCACAGUCAUCACCUUGUCAUUUUAAAUUCAGUUUUUCUUUGUGAUGUUGGGUUGUUGCAGGUUGUCUUUCCAAGUUUUGGCGAAAGAUACCUUUCAUCUGUUCUUUUUCAGUCAAUAAGAGAAGAAUGCGAGAAGAUGCAACCUGAGUUAUGAAAUAAAUUAAAAUGAACUAUUGGUGUGGUCCCCUUGUACUUUCUCCCUCAAAAUAAUCAGCGGCCGUUCUUUCUUGUGGCCAUGUACCUGAAGUUUGGUUGGUUGACAGCAUUCUGAUUUUAUACAAACAAGCAUUGUAUUAAUAGUUGUUGAGAAAUCAUAAAGUAGUUUUUGGUACAUGCCUUUGUUGUACCUUUUUGGUUUCUCCACCAUUUCCCACAUUUCCCACAUUUGAAUACAGUUUAUGCAACAUUGUUUACUAAGAUUCAUCAUAGAACAGCAUUACAGCACGUUUUAUUUUCUUCUGUAAUCAUUCUAAGUGACAAGUUCAGUUAUCCUAUAUAUGUGAAUGGUUCAUAUAUCUUGGUACAAAUCACAUUUCCUUUGUCCCACUAAUAUCAGUUUUAAAUCACUGGAUUUCCUUGAUCAAUCUAUUUCUUCCAUUUAAAUCAAUGAACUAACUCAUUCACUUGGUUAUCGAUGUCUUAAGUUAAACAUGCCUGAUUAAAUCUAGACCUUAGGUUGCUGACAUAGGUUUAAAGGCAAAGUAAGUAUACUUUGACAACCAGGCUUGUGCUUUUGUUUAUUGAGCACAUUUGGUCUGCAACCCUUAAUUAGAUUAUUAUGUUUUCUUCAAUAUGAUGUAGCCAUGUGCAGUCCAAAACUCGUGCUCAUAUACUACUAGCAAAUCUUCCUUCAAAAGAUGCAAGACCACCAAUCUUCCAUUAAUCCAUUCUAUUUAACAAAUACAACUGUGUAACGUCACACCUCACAACGGUUUUUUGUUAUAUAUUUUUAUCAAGACUUGCAAUAGUCCAAAUAGGGGUCAUAAGUCAUAAGCAUUCAAUGGUGGAGGUUGGCGUCUUCUUCCAAAUGCUCCUAUUUUAUUUUAUCUUGUAGCUAACUUGCUAUAAAUGAGCCACAUUGAUCUAUGCUGUUUCUCAUUAUCUAUCAAAACAUGGGAUCAAUGAAGCCUCUUCCUUCUUCGUCUUCUACAUCUUCUAACAGGUAAUCUCAUUCUCGAUCUUUUUCAUCUUCUUUCUAUUACUUGCAAUUAGCCCAGCAGACGGAAAUCAAUUUACAAGUAACUUAUUAACAAUGUCAAGUGAACUUUACUGACAUGCACCUCUCAUUUAUUGUUUGGUUUAUGUAGAUGGUGGUGUAAGGAUGUGGUUGCCGUCGUCACUGGUGGAAACACUGGGAUUGGACUUGCGCUCGUUAGACAAUUGGCAAAGUUAGGCUUAAGUGUGGUCUUGACUUGUAGAGAUGUGUCAAAGGGGAACAAAGCAGUUGAAUCACUCAGAUUACAAGGAUUACAUGUCAACUUCUGUCGUCUUGAUGUACUGGACCAUGCUUCUAUCAAAUACUUCGUGUCAUGGUUGAGAGAAACACUUGGCGGACUGGACAUUCUUGUAAGUUACUCGCAUUCUUUGCUCAACAUGCUCUGUUAUUUCAUUCUGUACCCCAGAAUGCUAAGAAGUUAUACAAUAGAAGGAGAUUGAAGGAUAAGUUAGUGAUACCAAUGUGUUAGAGAAAGCUGGCUUCUUAGCAUUCUUCCAAGGAUAAAAGUUGCAUAUAUGAGUGUAAAAACUAUUGGUUACCUUACUUCAAGUUAAGUUUAUUGGAGAUUUGUGUCUAUACCUGAUUACCUGCUACUAUGGGCAGCAAAUGCAGACCCCUUAAUUAGGUGAUAGCACCAUAAACGUUGUGGCAUGGAAACAUCUAUGAACUUUUCAGCAUGAAGUUGAAUUGGUAUGAUAUAAAAUAAAAAAUAGUCUGUGAAGUGUGAAUAGUCCUGGAAAGUCAGCUGUGGAAGCAGAUACUUUGGAUCUUUCCUUGAAAGCGAUGGACAUUAUACAAUCUUUUUAUUUUUUCACAAAUAAAUAAAUCCAAAUUUUAUUGAUAAGCUCAACGAAUUACACAAACGCGCUACAAACUGCGCUACAAACUGCGCGACAAGUCCUUUCUGGAUAGCAAACCCGAUUCUCCUAAAUACAUAUUCGUUCGAACCUGCAGUCAUCACGUUGCUAUCCAUUAUCUUCUGCACUCUCUUGAGGAGCUCAACUGCUUCUGAGCCUAGCAAUCCAAAUGUGUCAUACCUUCAGACCAGUUGUAGAUCAGAAUAUCAGCAGGACGUAAUGGAUUUUUUUUUAUUUUUUUAUAUUGAUUUGGUGUGAAAUCUAUCUACUGCACAUUAUUGGCCUGCAAAAUAUAUUGUUAAUCAGACUUCAAUAUCUGCUUUAAUAUCACAACAAUCUUUGAAAUCAUCUUAUAAGUAUUCUUGGUUUGUUUAGGUGAACAAUGCUGCAGUCUCAUUGAAGGAAAUUGGAGAAAAUUCUGUGGUCCAUGCAGAAACUGUGAUCAAUACCAAUUUUUAUGGGCCAAAGCUACUAACAGAAGCUCUACUGCCUUUGUUUCGUCGAUCCAAACAUAUAAGUCGAAUAUUGAACAUUAGUUCAAGGCUCGGAUCAUUAAACGUGAGUAAUCUUAUCAUUAAGCACACAUAUAAGUGGAAUAUUGAACUUUUUAGUCUAAACAUGGAUUUUUAUAUUUGAAUGUAGAAGGUGAGCAAUCCUGCUGUAAGGAAAAUCUUAGAAGACGAAGAAAACCUAUCAGAAGAGCGUAUCGAUAACAUUGUACAACAAUUUCUUGAGGAUGUAAGAAAUGGAAUGUGGAACAAAAAUGGAUGGCCAGAAGUAUGGACUGAUUAUGCUGUGUCAAAGCUUGCACUCAAUGCUUAUUCCAGGCUUUUAGCCAAGCGUUACAAUGGACAUGGAUUAAGUGUAAAUUGCUAUUGUCCUGGAUUCACUCAGACAUCAAUGACUGAUGGCAAAGGCAAGCAUACACCUGACUAUGUUGCUGACAUUGGAGCCAAACUUGUCUUACUUCCACCUGACCAUCUCCCUACUGGAAAAUUCUACGUUGCUUCUAAUAAAUUUUUGGAUUCUAAAUUAUAGAACAUGCAGGCACCGCACCACAGCAUAAUGUUAAGGGAAAUCAUGUUCUUGAAGAAUAAUUGAUGCGCAAAUGCUUAUAUUUUGUCACGAAACUUUUUGUUGUUUUGAUUGAGUUUGCAUCUUUGUAUGAUCUAUUACCAGACUACCAGUACCAUUAAUAAACAAAAAAUCAUGUUUUUUUUUUUUUUGGUAGCAACUAACUUUUAUUGAAUAAUACAAACAUUUUUACAGGACUUGACCAACACAAACACAAAGCAAAUAACAUAACCAACUGCAUAUAUACACAAGUCAAAUCUUCUAUGCAUCCUUGAUUCUUGCAUCAGUCUGUGUUGAUCCACAAUUAACUUCAAACCCUUUUUUUUUUUUUUUUGAUAAGUAAAAUUUUAUUGAUUUCGAUCGAAAGAAUACACAAUCCUGAGCAGCAUUCAACUUAUGCCAUCAGAUUGACCCUCGCAAACCAUACAGAUACAAGAGAUGAGAAGAUAUACUAUCUCCCCAUCACCCAUUAACCCUUGACUAAUACCAGAUGAUACUACCUUGUGUAUCUUCCUGCCACUAUGUCUCCCCAAUUCUCUAGCAUCUCCUGGUAUGUAAACUGUUGUCUCCCCGCCCAGAUUCCCAACCAGUACCACACUGUCGCCUUGGUUUCACUGAUAAUCCGAUCAACGGAGACUUCCUUGUUUCUGAAAAUCCUUGCAUUUCGGUUUUUCCAUACGCACCAAACAGCCGCAUACGGCAGCAAAGUCCAUACCAUUCGAGGGAAAGCUUGACAUGUUCUUUUUGGCCACGCCACAAGCCAUUCCUGCAAUGAUUCUCUGAUGAAGAGUGACGUGUAGAUCCCUUGGUCAGUUAGAAGCAGACCAUACCAUACCUGCAGCGCCACAGAGCAGUGAAGGAAGAGAUGGGUGAUUGAUUCAUUCAGCUGCCCACACAUCAUACAGAGAGGGGAUAAGUUUUGCCCUCUUUGUACUAAGUUGUCCACAGUUAGGGUCCUGUUCAUUAAGGCAGCCCAGAAGAACAACUUAAUUUUAACUGGCAGUUGAACUUUCCAGACUAACUUAACUGGGAAAGGAAAGGUUUCCCUUGUGGUGUUUUGUCCAGCCACCAGCAGUCUGUCAUACAUUGAUUUAACUGUGUACUCGCCUGACUUGUCCCAAAUCCAUUGCCAAGAGUCCUCAUCGUCUUCACACUCUACACUGUUUAGAAUAUUUUGGAGUGCCUCCACUUGUUGUUGUUCUUCGACAUUUCCAGUUCUGACUAAGAAUAAGUUCCAUGUCGUGUAAGUUUCAGUUUGCAGCCUGAACUCAUACACCAAUCCCCUUUUUCUUCUUGACAUUCUAUAGACCAUGGGAAAUUGCUUAAACAAUGGCCCGUUGCCCACCCAAGUGUCUUUCCAAAACUGGAUCUUGAGCCCGUUCCCUAGUUUGCAAUGUAUUCCUUCCUUAAACUGUGAGACUUUGGCCAAAAUUCCUCUCCAUAAGCUGCAACCAUAGGAUUGGGUUACCUUCUUUGGCCACAAACGGAUACCUUCACCAUACUUAGCGGUUAUAACUCUUCGCCACAGUGUUUCUCCUUCCUUAUUGUAUCUCCAAACCCAUUUUAGUAAGAGUGCCGAGUUCAUGUGCUUCAAUCGCCGAAGACCCAAACCUCCUUGCUGUUUAGGGGAACAUACUACUUCCCAAUUGAUCAAAUGAUAUUUUCUCUUGUCAUCUGUAGAGCCCCAGAGGAAUGCUCUCAUCUUCGCCUCUAUCCUGUCACAAAUACUCAAGGGAAUCGUGAAUAGUGACAUUUGAUAAAUGGGGAGAUUAGAUAGAACAUUCUGCAAUAAUACCAAUCGAAAACCCUUAUAGCGAAAACCCUUAUAGCGAAAACAAGAUCCGUUCACGAGCAUAAUCUUUCGUCUGAGCCACCCCUUAGCAAAGUAUAAUUCUCUCGAAGAAAAAAUCAUGUUUAAGCUUUACUAAGUCACAGUAAGACUUGGCUCAAUGGUAGCACCCCUCUCACAAAGUGGAGAGGUCGUGGGUUCGAAACACGUCAACAGCGGAUUGUUGAUAUAAGUUUCCACACGUAAUUUAAAAGGGGUAGGGGUCCCCACAACCUCGCUUGCCAACCCCAAAAAAAAAAAAAAAAAGCGGAUUGCUGAUAUAAGUUUCCACACGUAAUUUAAAAGGGGUAGGGGUCUCCACAAUCUCGCUUGCCAACCAAAAAAAAAAAAAAAAAAAAAGUCAAUCAGUAAGACUUUGUGCCUAGCAUUUUGCCCUGAAAUCUUGAAUCAAACAGGAUACUGUAGAUAGUGAGACAAAUGGGUAUAUAUGCAUGUUGGGCCUUGAUCCAAUUAAGACGGUUUUUAAAAUUGCAUUUUCUAAGUCCAAAUCCAGGUCCAUAAUCUAUGGGCUGGGUUGCAUGGGUGUAGUAGCAAUUGUCUAAAAUAACCUUGGAGACACGCGAUUUGAUCUGAACCGUUGAACAAAAACACACACUAGGGUUUUAUAAGUACAAAAGGCAGCCAACAUCUUGAAGCUUCUUCUUUCUUCAGUGGGUUUCUUAAGAAGCAAAACCCUAAUCUUCAAUACACAGAGAAGAGGCAGAUCGAGAAUCUCUCUCAACAAUGGUGAGAUUUCCGUAAAACUAAACCCUAAAUCACCUUUUCAUUCUUAUCUCUGUUACGUUCCUUUCUUCUUUCAUUUCAUUUAUUCACUCUUUCACUCGAAGUUGUUAGGGUUUGAUGAUUGAAAUCUGUGAAAGAAUUUGAUUGUAUUUUUUCGCUUGAAAUUUAUUUUAUUAAAAUGGGGUUUGUUUAGAUUUAUGAAGUAUAUGUUAUUUUCCAUCACUUGCUUCUCAGUUCUUACUGUUUCAUGGUUUUAUUUGGAUUUAGUAUAGUUGUAUCAACAUAUUUUGAUUAAAUGUUGAUGAUUAUGGUUUUGAUUAACGAUUAUUACAAAUGAUAAAUGAAUAGAGUUUUAGGAUUUUGGGAUUCUGUUUAUAGUAUUAUUGCUUGAGAUGAAAUUUUUGGAUUGAUAAGCCCUCAAUGAAGUAACACAAUUAACACAUCAAGGCUUAUGCUUUUUCAUAUAUUUAUUUUAUAAUCAGAUGUAAUGUUAAAAUCUUGCUCUACCAAUUAGUUUUGUACUGUUUUCCAGAAGAAAAAUCAAUAUAGUGCGAACUGGUCUAAUUUAUGCUUAAACAGUUUUAGUAUUCCAGAGAAGAGUUUUUGUUAUGUAUAAUUUUGGAAUUAUUUUGCAUUUCAGGUGUUUGUUAAGUCACAGAAGUCGAGAGCUUACUUCAAGCGUUAUCAAGUUAAAUUCAGGAGAAGAAGAGGCAAGUAUCCUUUCUGUUUUGUUGUUGUUACUAUAUGUCAUCUUUUAUGUGCUUAUCAUCUGAUGGAAUUUGUUUCAUCAUUUGCACAGCUGGAAAGACCGAUUACAGAGCUAGGAUCCGCUUGAUUAAUCAGGACAAGAACAAGUACGGGACACCCAAAUACCGUUUUGUCGUUCGAUUUGUAUCCUUCACUUUUAUCAUUUCUAUGCUUAUGUUUUCCAAUUUUAUGUUGGUGUCUGUUGAAAAAGAGCAACUUUUAAAAUACAAGAUGUUUGUUCAGUUGGUCUUGGUUGAAAAUUUGGUAGUAUUUGAAGUAUAUAGUAUACUAUAGUAUUUGGUGUGGUUGAACAAAAUGAAUUAGUCAAUUAGCCAGUAAAAUGCCCUCUUACUAUUGUCUUGAACAAGGGGCACUACCUCCACUGUUAUCUACUUCUCUGGCUUCUUAAUGAAUGUGCAACCAAAGUUUGUGCUUGUUAUAUUUUAAAUCCUUGACGAUGUAAUUAGACCAACAAGGAUGUUAUUGCCCAAAUUGUAUCUGCUACUAUCACUGGUGACAUGAUACUGGCAUCCGCGUAUGCUCAUGAACUGCCUCGAUAUGGGCUUGAUGUUGGUCUAACCAAUUAUGCUGCAGGUAUGGGAACCUUCACAAAAUUUGUUAUUCUGUGCGUAACCUUGAGGUUAUUAACUAAAAUUUAAAUGGAAAUUAGCCUAUUGCACUGGACUCCUCCUGGCUCGCCGAGUCUUGAAAACACUUGAGAUGGAUGAGGAGUACGAAGGAAAUGUUGAGGUACUCAAUUUAUUUAGUCAUUUUGAUGAUUUUGCAAUGCUAAUAUUUGGUGGGGAUUCUUAUGCUAUGUUUAUAAUGGCAGGCAACUGGGGAAGAUUUCUCAAUUGAACCCACAGAAAGUAGAAGGCCCUUCCGUGCUUUGCUUGAUGUUGGCCUAAUUAGAACAACAACAGGGAACAGAGUCUUUGGUGCCCUUAAGGUAUUCUUUUACCCUGGUCUACAUGUGUGAUUGAAUAUUUGGAUAGUCUACCGUUUAUCUCGUUUAAUCUUUUUGCAUUUUCUCUACCUGUAUUGUGCCAUGGGAAAUUUAUUCUUGUUGUUGCAAGAGUCUCUUGUGCUUGCAUUUGUGUUUUCAUAUUUCUCAAAUGAAAAAUAUGCAUGUAUGAAAAUAUUAUGUUGCAUGGAAAUCUUAAUGUACUAGUCAUCAAUUCCAGGGAGCAUUGGAUGGUGGCCUUGAUAUUCCACACAGUGACAAAAGGUUUGCUGGAUUUAAAAAGGAGGAAAAGCAGUUGGAUGCUGAAGUUCACAGGAAAUAUGUCUAUGGUGGCCAUGUUGCUGCAUAUAUGAAGGUCAGGAAUUGUUUUGUUAUUUUGUUGCAUUUCUUUGCUUGGUUACAAUAUUGAAUUAGGUACAAAUCAGAAUUUUGUGUUUGCCAAAGAUAAAAUAAAAUCUUAUUCCUUUUCUGAAGUUCUGCUUUGUGUCUGUUUAUUUCUCAGACACUAAUGGAGGAUGAGCCAGAUAAGUACCAGUCUCAUUUUUGUGAGUAUAUUAAGAGAGGAAUUGAACCUGAAGGUAUAGAGGAGCUGUACAAAAAGGUACAUGCAGCCAUCCGUGCUGAUCCAACUGCAAAGAAAUCAGAGAAACAGCCCCCCAAGCAACACAAGAGGUAAUGUUCUGAAAGUAUUUCCCUCGUUUAAAAUUUUUGUUUCGACAUUUCUUUAUCCACACUGAUCAUUGUCUGAUUAGUGAGAGAAAUCUAAUGGAACUCUUCAACUAUAUAGAGUGGACUUUGUCAUUUAGUUUUGAAUUGUUUUUAAAUUAGUUCUUUUGGUUGAAAAAAGGGUUGUUACUGUCAUGUUCAUAGUCCAUUUAUGUGGAUGUGCACUAGUCCAUUGUGAUGUAUGGAUACUAGUGUAUUGAAUAAUGUUGUACUUGGAUUGUGUAACCUUCUUGCAUGAACUAAUUUCUAUGUUUUGUUUCACAUGAAGGUUCAAUUUGAAGAAGCUUACUUAUGAUGAGAGGAAGAACAAGUUGAUUGAGCGGUUGAAUGCCCUGAACAAUGCUGCUGGAGCAGAUGACGACGAUGAUGACGAGUGAAAAUUGUCUGAUCGUCUUCAUAUAUUCAUUUAGAGUUUUUUGUUGAACUUGCACUUUUGUUAUUUUGCUACUCAGUUUGUAAUGUUUUCUGUUGCCGAAUUGUUCAAUUUUGGAUACUUAAAGUUGGACUUCACCUUGUCACUUCCAGUAGAUUAUAAUUUUGGAUACUUAAAGUUGGACUUCACCUUGUCACUUCCAGUAGAUUAUAGAGUUUCUUUAAAAGUUGAAACAUUAUAUUAAUUCUAUCCAUAUUAUUAUCUUCCGAUUGUAAUUUUGUUAUAUUUAUCUCUUAUAGUUGCAGUCUACCAUGCUUUGUUUGUCAUUGCUUUUGGUUUAACUGUGGUGGUCCGAGAUUGUACUUGGUAACUGGUGUUUCAUUCUUGUAUGAAUUUACUGGGCUUUUGGUUU
rnacentral:lncRNA from 1 species